UAUUAUUCAAGCCAAGGGGCAAUAAGCAAUAAGCAUCCCCACAACUUCAAAAAGUUUUUCUUUCUUUCUUUUCCUAUCUCUAUUUGAAAUCUGUUUCAGGGGAAAGAAGAAGGAAAAUUUUAUGAUUUUUUGAGGGCUUGUUAAUAAUAAAUAGAAAACAAUGGCGAACAAUGUUGCUGUUAUUGGUAUCUUUUCGGUGUUAUUGGUGACAGCAGUGGUGGGUGUUACGCAUUUAAAAAAUAAUGGUGAUUCGAAAAGCGGUGAAAUAUCAAGUUCGACGAAAGCGGUGCAAACAACAAGGAGCUGAUAAGAAUGAGUUUCCAAGCAGCGAUAGAGGAAAUAAGGAAAGUGUUGGCGAAUUCAGCGACGAUACAAGACUUGAAUAAAGAUGACAACAACAAAGCAGCCCUUAAGGUUUGUAAAGAAGUGUUGGAUUUAUCAAUAGCUGAUCUGCAACUUUCAUUUGAUAAGCUGGGGGAUACGAGAUGAGUAAGAUCGGUGACUACAUACUGAACCUGAGGGUGUGGUUAAGCGGUGCCUUAACUACCCUACAAACAUGUGUAGACUCAUAUGCGGAGGUAAAUAAUGAACAAGCGGAGAAGAUGAAUUCAAUUUUGAAGACUUCAAUAGAGCUUACCCAAAAUUCUUUAACGAUGGUGACUAAGUUAUCCACCAUCUUGAAUGGCCUUAACAUUCCAGGCCUCAAUAUUGGCACGACUGGGUUUGAACGUAAGCUCCUGUCUAACGAUGGACCUGAGUGGAUGGGCCACGCUGAGAGGAGACUACUUCAAGCAAAACCAACAGAUUUGAAGCCUAAUGUAACAACCCAAAAUUCGUGGGCACCAGAAAAGUGUGUUAUCGGGUCUCCGUCUUAGUGAAAUAAGUUCGAAAAUAAUUAUUAAAAAUAUUUAUGAGUCUAGUAGUGUAUUUAAUUGGGUUUUAAUUAAGUAAAUUUAGCUUAAUUUAGAGUAAUUAGUAAAAAGGAUUAAAUUGAAUAAGGGUAAAAGUUUAAUUAUAGAUUAAAGAAAAAUUAGAAGGACUUAAGAGGAAAUUAAACUAUUUCCUAUAGCUGAGGCGGUUUAACGUGGAAAAUAUCAAAAAUUUUAUUGAUUUAAAAAAAAUAUAUAUAUUUAAUAAUUAAGUAUAUUAUAUUAUAUUAUAUUAUAUUAUAUUAUAUUAUAUUAUUAUUAUAUAUAAAAGAAACAAAUAAGUUAAAAGAAACAGAAUGAAAGCAAACGAAACAGAGAAGAACAGGGGAGAAAGAAAGGAAAGAAGAAAGAAAAGGGGAAAUAAGGUUUAUGAAGCUUGGAGUUAAUUGGUAAGCUCAACCAAGUCCUUUUCUCAUAAUUUUGAUAUUUUAGAAGUCUUAAAACAAGUUUUUGAUGAAAUUAAGUUGUUAGUUUGGAAGUUCUUAGGUUUUUAAACAAAGUUCAUGUUGAAUAAAAUGAUGAAAUAGGUGUUUAAUUGAAUGAAAUUCAAGUUAGAAUAGAUAUAAGGAUUGAAUUGCAAAGUAAGCUAUAAGUUUUGUGUUUUAGGGACUAAAUUGAGGAAAAUUCGGAAUUAAGAAAAUAUUUUGAAAAUUUAAUAGUUAAAUUUGAGUUUAAAUGAAAUUUGAAUAGGAAUAAGGUGUGAAUUGGUGUUAUAAAUUUGGUUAUUAACAUUUUACAUCAAAACAGUUUUGGGAAGUAGCAAUGGUCUGACUUUGAAAAUUCACUAAAAAUUUUAUAAAUUGAACUAGAGAAUGAACAAAAUAUGGAAUUAAAUCUUAUUGAGUCUAUUUUCUUUAGUAGAAACAGUGUAAGCAAUUAAUUGAUGAAUCAAGAGAUAUUUGAAAUUUUGUAAUACUGGUUCGGGGUGAUUUCGAGAUGCCCUGUUUUAACUUUGGAAAAUCAUUAAAAAUUGUACAAAAAUUAUUAUGGAGUGUAAUUUAUAUAUGUGAACUCCUUAAUGAAUCUAGUUUCAAAAUAAAUAAACAAGAACCUUAUUCGAGUUCUGUACAAUGAGAUAAUUUAUUUUUAGUAGAGAGAGGUCAGAACUGUCAAAUGAAAUAACAGGGGAGUAUUUAAUGAAUAAACUGUACUAAAUGGCUAGACCAAAAAUUCUGAAAAUUUUAUGGUUAGAAGAUAUAUGAGUCUAGUUUUAAGGAAAAUUUACGGAUAUUAAUUUGGAGUUUCGUAGCUCAAGAUAUAAAUAAUUUAGUAACAAUGACUCAAGUAGACAGCUUAAUGGUGAAAUUAUAUAUAUACAUUAAAAAUGGUUAAAUUUGCAUGUUUAGGCUCAUGAAUUAAAUUGAAUCAUGUUGUAUUAAUGAUUAUAAAUUAUUAUUUUUGUAGCCAACAAAGAACCUGAAGCAUCAGCAUCGAAAGGAAAGGAGAAAGUCAUCGAGGACUAAAACGGGAGAAUUAUGGUGUGUAUUACUAUAAUUCGAAUUUUAAUUAUUAUUGAUUGCUGAAUUUUUUUUAUUGUUAUGUAUGGUAAGUAAGACUUGAGGUAAGUAUGUGAAAUUGAUAUGAAUAUUGAGUGAAAAUGAAAGUGAUGCAAAUUGAAUCAAAUUGAAUUGAAUAAGUGAAUUAUGGAAUAUGUAAUUAUUUGAGAAGCGUAUUGAUUGAAAAAUGUUUGGCGAUUUGAAUUGUGAAUUGAAAGUGAUAUAGGAUUGAGAAAGUGAAUUGAAUACCCUAUUAACUAGUCGGGCUAAGUCGGAUAUAGUUGGCAAGCCAUAGGAUUGGAAGUGUUCAGGGAUACUUCGACCUCGAGUCGAUGAGACACUGGGUGUCACUAUAUUUCUUCGGAUAGAUUCGAUGAGGUACCGGGUACCAACUUUACUUCGGCUAGGCCGAUGAGACACUGGGUGUCAACUAUUACUUCGAACUAUCCGAUGAGGCACUGGGUGCCAUAUUGGUGUGUUUGGUUGGAUCCGUGUAUCCGCCAAAGUCCGAGUUACGUUAAUAGGGUGAAAAAUUGAAAUGUGAAUUUGAGGCAUUGAAACGAGAAAAAUAAAUUGAAUUACGAAUUGAAAUUGGAAUUGUGAUAAUAAGAGAAAAGUAUGAAAUGUAUAUUCAUAAGUGAUAUAAAUUUAAGUUUGAGAAAAUACAUUGAUUUAUGAAUUAGUACAUAUGACAUUAAUUGUUAGGUAUUUUGAUAUUUAUGUUUUUACUAUUGUUGAUAUAAUUUGAAUUAUGGUAAUAUCACUGAGUAUAUCCAUACUCAGCGUACGGUUGUUUCCGUGCGCAGAUUAGUAGAAGUCAAGUGUCCCAGUUCAGCAUCCAGAACAUUCCCGACUCCAACACAAAUUUGGUGAUGUAUAUUUUUCUUUUGGGUAAAGGUGGCAUGUACAUAUGUGUUAUAUAGUCACUUGAAUAUGCAUAUUACUUUGGGUAGUGAAGGUUGAAUUAUAAGAUUUAGAUGGUUAAAUGAAAUGGUAAGAAAAGUAUAUGAUAGUUAUUAAGUUGAAAUUAUGUUAAUGAUAUAAAUAUUAGUUAUAUGAAUGUGAAAAAUUGGUGCUGGUUGUUUUAGUUUGAAUUUGCAGGAGGUUUUAGGUAAAAAUAAGCAGAAAUGCUGCCGAAAUUUUUAUAAAAAAAAAGAAAUAAAAAAAAAUUUAAAAUAUUCGAACAAGUCCCGUUCUACUUUUAAUACGUGCUUGAACUUUGAGAGUUCAAGAUAGGGACUCAAUUAUUAUAUUAUACUAUGAAAAUUUUUAAUAAUUGUAAAUUAUUAGUAAGUUGUCUGAUAUGUCCGGUAAUGCCUCAUAACCUCGUUUCGGUAACAGUUUGGGGUUAGGAGGUGUUACACCUAACGUUGUGGUUGCUAAGGAUGGUAGUGGAAAAUAUGAUACCAUCACCAAGGCCUUGGCUGAAGUCCCUCCAAAAAGCCCUAAUCGAUUUAUUAUUCACAUUAAGGCUGGUACUUACAAGGAACAAGUCCUUUUACCCAAGGAGAUGACUAAUGUUAUGUUAAUCGGUGAUGGCCCAACUAAGACCAUCAUCACCAAUGACCUUAACUGCAUUAGGGAUCAUCCGCUUAAAACAUUCGGCACUGCAACAGUUGGUAAGUAGUAUUAUAUACAUAUAAGUUUUGGUGGUGAGGUGAGGUGAUUAACUAGUAUGAAUGUUUGUGAAAUAUUGUAGGUGUGGACGGGGCUGGUUUCAUGGCCAGGGACAUUGGAUUCGAGAAUACAGCAGGACCCCCUGGUCAUCAAGCAGUAGCUUUUAGGGCAACAUGUGAUAUGGUUAUCAUGUUCAAUUGUCAUUUUAAUGGGUACCAAGACACCCUUUAUGCUCACAAACAAAAACAAUUUUAUAGGGAUUGUCUCAUCAGCGGGACGGUGGACUUCAUCUUCGGGGAUGCUGCGAGCAUAUUCCAAAAUUGUCUGAUCAUCGCGAGGAAGCCAGGUGAAAACCAGAACAACAUGAUUACAGCCCACGGAAGGAAAUUUCCAUACACUCACUCAGCCAUUGUGCUUCAAAAUUGUACCAUCUCGGGCGCCCCUGACUACCUUCCGGUGAAGGACAAGAGCAAGACGUACCUUGGUCGUCCCUGGAAAGCUUUGGCGAGGACCAUCAUAAUGCAAAGCAAUAUUGAUGACAUUAUUACACCAGAGGGUUUGUAACACCCCGUACCCGAGACCAUUGCCGGAGUCGGACACGAGGGGUUCACAGACUAAAUUCGCUUACUAUCGCAGUCCAUUUUAAAUUUUUCCAGACAGCUGGCUAACUGUGUCGCUGUCACCUUAAAAAUCAUAUCUUGAGUUUCACAACUCGAAAAUCAGUUUCGUGAUUUUUCCCUGAAACUAGACUCCUAUAUCCAUCUACAUAUUCUUUUCUAGAAUUUUUGGUCGGGCCAAUUAGUACAGUUUAUUAGUUAAAGUCUCCCCUGUUACAGGGUGCGACUACACUGACCUUCAUGCAUUACAAUUCAGAUAUCUCCCUGACAGGGCUUCAAUACUGAUGCCGUUUGUUUCUAUAGAAACUAGACUCAGAGAGGAAUCUAUACAUAUAUGGCAUGACUCCUAAUUAUCUCUGGUUAAUUUAUAAUGAAUUUCCAAAGUCGGAACAGGGAAUCCAGAAACCGUUCUCGCCCUGUCUCACAAAAACCUAAUUAUCUCUUAACAUACCACUCAUUUGACCGUUUCGUUUCUUCCAUAUGAAAGUGGAUUCAUCAAGGUUCAUUUAAAUAAUUGAUUCACUAUUUAAUUCUAUUCCUACUAUUUUUAGUGAUUUUCCAAAUCUACAUCACUGCUGCUGUCAGCAUCUGCCUUUAAGGUAGACUUUACCUAUUUCAUAGUUUCCAUGAUUCAACUAGCCCUUUUAGCAUAAAUAGCACAAAUUAUGAUAGUGAUUAACCAUUCCCAUGGCCAAUCCUUGUUAAGCAUAUCCACACCUCUCAAUAACCAUAUCCAUACCAAAUGAUUAUAACAUUAUGCUCAAACAUAUAUAAGCCAUUUUCGCAUGGCUAUCCAAAAUUAUACAAAUCCAAAGGGUCCAUGACCCACUACAAAAAGGGUAGUCCUAUACAUGCCAUUUUCAGAGUUCAACCAAAAGUGUACCAAAAGGGCUUUGAUAGUGUGGGCGACUUCGACUUCAAUAAUCCCGAGUCCGAUAGCUGACGAACCAAAAUCUAUAAAACAGAGAUUCAAAGAACGGAGUAAGCAUUUAAUGCUUAGUAAGUUUUAAGCAAGACAAAGUGUUCUCAAUCACUAUUAUUGGUCAUUCAUUUCAACUGUUCGAUGAAGUUAAUCUAGAGCUUCAUCUCGAUCUAUAAUAUCAUUAAACGCAACACUUGGCUGCCACAUAUAUACUUUCGAAUAAUAAUGACCUAGAUGGUCAAAUAUUUCUAAAGCACAUUCUCACAUUUGGAGUUAUAAUAUUAAUCACAUUUACCUACCUCUUUGAUACUGAUAAUUCACCUCGAAAUCACUCCACCGAUGAGUAAGUAAUACGUACCUGAACAUCUUGAAUACAUAAUACUUAUUUGAUGGUAACUUAAUGCAGAUACUCAAUAUCAAAGUCUUACUUGAAUCCUAGCAUUUAGCCGUCGGGUCUUUAAAGCUCGGAUAUAGUACGAGCACGAAGCCUACGGACAUUAAUCAGGAUAAUAUUCUCGCAUAAAGCCUGCGGGGUUUUAACCCGGAUAUAGUACUGACACAAUUGCCCUUCGGGACUUAUCACAUUUAUACACUUCCACAUCCAUCACAUUGGCCAUUCGGCCUUAUCACAUAUAUACACUUUCACAUUCAUCACAUUGGCCAUUCGGCCUUAUCUCAUAUAUGCAUGUUCACAUUCAUCACAUUGGCCAUUCGGCCUUAUCACACAUACACAUGUUCACAUUCAUCACAUUGGCCAUUCGGCCUUAUCACACAUACACAUGUUCACAUUCAUCACAUUGGCCAUUCGGCCUUAUCACACAUACACAUGUUCACAUUCAUCACAUUGACCAUUCGGCCUUAUCACGCAUAUAUACUUUCACAUUCAUCACAUUGGCCACUCGGCCCUAUCACAUAUAUAUACUUGUACAUCAAUUUCAUCAUAACAAAAUUGACUAGGUAUACUAGUCAUUUGUGGCUUAUAGCUUCACUUUAAUACGAAUUUGGUACUUUGAUUACCAAUGUUUAAUCGAUAGCUUAUAAGCAACUCAAAUGGUUUUAUUAAGGUUUACAACAAAAUUCCAAAUUCAGCACAAGCUGUUUUUUUUCUGAGCAACAGUCAUUAAAUUAUUCGUAAAUGGAGCUACGAAACUCCAAAUGGAGUGCCGUUAAUUUUCCCUGGAAAUAGACUCAUACAUAUCUUAUCCAGAAAAUUUUCAGAAUUUUUAGUUUGGCCAAUCAAUACCAGAUUUUUCUUAAAGUUUCCCCUGUUUCACUAUUUGACUAAUCUGACCACUCUUCACUACGAAUCAAAUUUCUCAUUGUACGGAAUUAAAAAUGUGUUCUAUUUGAUUUCAUUUGAAACUAGACUCAUUAAGGAGUCUAGGCAUAUAAAUUUUAUCUUAUAACCAUUUUUUUACAAAUUAUAAUGAUUUUUCUAAAAAUAGAACAGGGGAUUUCGGAGUCAUUCUGACACUGUCCCACACAACUUUAAAUAUCUGUUUAUAGGAAAUUUCUUUGCUUCCACGGUCUCUUUUAUAAGAAACUAGACUAAAUAAGCUUUGAUUACAUAUUUUAUUCAGCCUAUAAUUCUACACCAACAAUUUAUAGUGAUUUUCUAAAAUCACGUUACUGCUGCUGUCCAAAGCAAAUUAUUACAAUUUGCUCUUAAAUUUCCAAGUCCAAACACUUAUGAACUUACCAUUUGAGUUUAAGACAUAUUAUGGCCACAUCAUAUCUUAUUAAAUCAACUCAUUAUGUCCUAUUAUGACUGAAUUUACUCAACGUUUAAUCACUUAAAACUUACCUCGGAUGUGGUCGAACGAUUUCGGCGGCUAUUCGAUCACUUUUUUCCUUCCCUUUAUCGGAUUUAGUUCCCCUUUGCUCUUGAGCUUAAUUUAACAAAUAAAUUGAUUUAAUCAUUUGAACAUCGAAAAGAGAAAAUCAAGGUACUUAACCCAUAUAUAUAUACAUUAGACAUUAAAGUCACAUACAUAUGAAAUCAUGAAUCAACUCAACAUAUUAACCCACACUCUCUUUUAGCCGAUUGUCUAAGCCAAGAUUAAGCCACCAAUAUGCUUACUUAUGGCCGAACAUACACAUCAACUUAUGUACUCAUUCAUGUGGCCGAACAUACAUGUCUAUGUUGAGGCCGAUUGCAACACUUAAUACAUUCUACAAGUAUGGUCACUUGUAUUGACUAAACACCAUUUUGUUUCAAGUUCAAAACUUGGCCAAAACACAUAUAUACACUAGUAAAGCAUCCUCUCCCUUUCCAUCAAUUCAACACAUGCAUUACUCAUUAAUAUACAAAAUUAUAUUCGGCCUUAGCACACAACUUGCUAGCCGAUUCUUCUCCAUCUAGCAACUAAUGCACAUAUGUGCUCAUUUGUUAGACUCUACUUCAUCUAACAACAACCAUAUUUUCCCUUCUACUUCCUACCAUGGCCGGAUGCUCAAGAUACCUCAAUAUCGAAACUUUUAGCUUGGAUUGCUUAAAGAACUUGGUGAUGAGUUCAAAUUUACCUAACACCUCAAGCCUCAUAACACAUCUAUAUAGCUAACAUGCUAAUAGUCUCAAGGCUUCAACUAAAACUUUUGAAGCCUCUUAGUCGAAUACUAACUCUCUAAUAAUCCCAAAUCCAUCCAUGAGAUAGUUAGAAUUUAGACUAAUCAUCCAAGGGAUGUAUGAACUUUCAAAGUAACACUAAACAUACCUUAAUCUAGUGAGCCUUCAUAGCCGAUUUUUCUCCAAGCUCAUUCCCUUCCUUUCUUUCUUCUAUUCGGCCAAAGAUGUUCAAGGAUGAACACUUUUUUUUUCUUUGUUUCCUUUCUUCCAUUCACGGCAAAGGGGGGGCAUGGAUGAGACCAUUUUUUUUCAUCACUCCACCUUUUUGCAUUACUUUAAUCCUAACCCAUUUUUUUUAUUCUUUCUAACAUAACUCACUAACACAACAUGUUUGCAACAUGUUUCCACCCAUAGCAUGGCCGGCCACUAUGUUUUAAUUUUGGGUAAUUUGAAAUGCAAACCCAUCAUUUCACAACAUGCAUUAUUAGGCCACUUUACAUUUGCCUAGCACAUUUCCAAAUUUUCUCACAUAAGUCCUAUUUGAUAAAAUUCACUUACUAUUAACAAAAUUCAAACAUGAAAUUUUCACACAUGCAUAUGUACAUAUAAUGAGCAUCAACUAUGACGGUUAAUUAUCUUUAUGACUCGGUUUAGUGGUCCCGAAACCACUUUCCGACUAGGGUCACUUUAGGGGUGUCACAGGGUUACUCCCCCAUGCAAGGCACCGUAGGAAUAGACACUGGUUACUUUGUAGAGUUCCAAAAUAGGGGACCCGGUUCCAAAACUGAAGGCAGGGUCAAAUGGCCAUCUAUCAAGACAAUCGAUAUAAAUGAAGCCAAGAAAUGGACUCCUGGCGUCUUUCUUGAAACUGAAACUGACAAAUGGAUUUCGCAAACUGGCACUCCUUGUUAUCCUGACAUGGUCCCUGGAGUGUGAACUCCCAAAACCAUCGCCAUUAGUAUUCUUUUAUUAUCAUUAUUAGUAAUCAUGUUGUCGAUUAUUGAUUAAGUUAAAAGAUAUUUUAACCUUAAGUAUUUGUUAUUUUAACUUAUUGGUAAUGAUUAUGUUUAAACUUUUAUUCAAGUUAUAAUUCUAUUAUAAAGUUAAUAAAUAAAGUUAUAGUAACCUCCCCAACUUGGCCUAAACAUUAGAUCUGAAUUCAGAAGAUUAUAUUAGCCACCGAAAUGACCUUGUAAGUUAUCAGAAUUUUUGAAAACGGUCAUUUUAAAACAUUUGAUUAUUUUAGAAGAAAACCUAGAUAAUUACCGAUUUAUUUACUAUUCAAAAUUCUUAUUUAUAAUUUAGCAGCAUAAAAGUAAUAAUAGUUUGUAUUUUUAAUAAAAACCAAUGUUCAUGCAUAAUUAAUUAAUAUUCAUAUUUAAAAAUCCUAAAAUCAAAUUAAAUGUCAUGCAGGCUGUAAAAUAAAAACCAAAUCCUAAGUUCUAUAUAACAUGUAACAACCCGUUUUCAAUGAAAUCGAAAUAGUGGUUUCGGGACCAUAAAUCCAAGUCAGAAAGAAAAUUUAUUUUAAUAUUAUUGCAUGGUCUACAUUAUGAUAGGAAAGACGUAUGAAAAUUUUGAUAAGAAAAUUUUAUCGAUUUUAUGUAUAAUUAGGAGGAAAGGACCAAAUUGCAUAAAGUGCAAAAGUUGAAUUCUAGUAGCUAAAAGGAUUAAAUAGUUAUGGAAUUCAAAACUUGGGGUCCUUAUAUAAUAAUUAUACCAUUAAGAGAAGUUAUUAGAUAUUUAUGAUAAAUCAUCCAUGGAAAUUUAAGAAAAGAAAAGGAUUAAAUUGGAAAGUUAAAAAAUUAAAAGAUGAUAAGUUAAUUAAAAGAAUAAAAUAAGUUUAUUUCAUCAUCUUCUCCAAAUUUUCUAUGGAAACCCUAGCUUAGAAAAAGAGAUUCAAGCAAGCUUAAUUAGGUAAGUAAUCAUGUCCCGGUUUUAGUAAUUUUUACAUUUCUGAGAUCGUAAUAACCUAAUCUAUUUAUUUGGGGAUCAAUUUGCAAAGUUAUAAAAGUAUUUAAAAUUUUCCAUGGAUUAUUAUGCUGAAAUUUUGAAAUUUAAGGUAGAAAAUGAAAGGUUGUUGAUAGAUAAAUGAUAAACUGUAAUUUAUACAUAUUUUUACCCCAUGCUUAACGCAUUUUAUGGAUGAUUUUUCCUUAGAAUUAGUGAAUUCGAUGCUCCUAAUGCCUUAAUUUCAUGUUUUAUACUUAGGUGAGCAUAGGAGAGCGAAAGGAACGAGAAACGAGCCAAAAAUGGAGAAAAUGGGCCAAAGUACGAAAUCAACACGGCCUGGACUUCCUCACACAGACAGCCCACGCGGCCGUGUCAAUUUGGCAGAAUCGAAGCACGACUCACAUGGGUAGAACACACGCCCGUGCCAAUCUAACAGGCUCGACACGGCCUGAAGUAAUCGCACACGGGCAUGUCAUAUAGGCGUGUCCCUGCCGAGCCCAAGUUUAGUCCAAUUCGGAAAAUGCCAAUUUUGAGGGUUUUUAGGCAUUCCAAAGCUUAUAAAUACAACCUGGAGGAGGAAGAAAAAGGGGAGGCACAGAGAGGAAGGAAUGAAUUACUUGAAGGAAGCCGAUUGAUCCAUCUCAGAAGCCGAAUUCAUCGUCAAGACUGAAGAUCUCCCUUCAAUUUCCCUUCAGGGUUUUGGGAUUUCUUUAUGUUUUGUAUUCAUUAUUCUUCUGAGAUGUUUUCCUUUUUAGUUAUGAACUAAAUCCCCUAAAUACCUAAGGGGGAUGAAACCUAAGACGAAUCUUGUUAUUAUUUUCUGAAUUGUAUGAUAAAUAUUUAACUUGUUCUUAAUUAUGUGUUCUUAAUUCUUGUUUUGAUAUCCUAGGAUACUGAUUCAAGAUAAGCUCUUAUUCAGAGGAGGAAUAGACCCUGUCUAAGAGUACAUUUGUCAUAAUUAAGCGGAGUUGCUUGCGCGCCUAGAUAUAGGGUGACAAGAUUUUGUCGGAUUAGGGUGAAACCUAAUAAGGGGAUCCAUAGAUCGAGUUAAUGCAACCCUAAGAUGUUAAUUAGAGAAAAGUUUUAAUUAUUCAAUCUAGGGAUUAGACGUUAUUAGUCUUGAAUAGGAAUAAUAACAUAACUUAAGGAUCUCUACGAAACAAGUUAAAUGAAUAAAUCGUCCGAUUCAGAGUCAGAAUAACAAGUGAAGUUUAGGUGGAUUUUUCCUUAGGUAUUGUCUUAAUUCAAUCGUUUUUCCAAUAGUAAUUCCCCAAUUCUAUUUUCUGUGAAUUCUUAAUUUAGAUAAUUAGUUAGUUAAAACAAACCCCCUUAUUUUUAGGCUAGAUAAUAAAAAGACAGUCAUUACUAGUACUUUUAGUUCCUUUGGGUUCGACAAUCCGGUCUUGCUAAAGCUAUACUACUAUUCGAUAAGUACACUUUCCUUCAUCGUGAUAAGAGUUAGUUUCGAGAACGAUUCAUUAUAAAUAUUUAAAACCUGUCGCAAAUAUCGCGUAUCAAUAAACAACUUUUGUAAAGUGAAUUUUGAUGAAAUCGUGAUUUAGGGACUAAAUUGUAAAGAUAUAAAAUUCAAUGAAAUUUUCUAAUUUUUAUGAAAUAUAUCGACUGUUUUUGUUAUAUGAAAAAUUCGACUAGGCUUGGAAUAAGGAUUAAAUUGCAUGAAUUUCAUUUUCCGAGCCUAGGGAUGAAAUUGGAAUUAAUAAAAGUAUAGGUGCAAAAUUGUACUUUUUCCUAAAAUGUGAAUUUGAGUGAAUUGAAUAUGAAUUUCAUUAAAUUGAGUUAAAUUUAUCCGUAUAGAUCUAGAUAGACCUAGUACGAAAUUGGAUCGAGGAAAAUAAAAAGUUUCGGAUUAGCAGAUUCUCAUAUAUGAACAAGUAUCGAGGUAAGUUCAUGUAACUAUCACUAUAGGAAAAUAGGGCUUUAGCGGCGUUUUAUCAAAAAACGCCGAAAAAAUUAUAAAAAACUGAGCAAUAGCGACGUUUUUGCUAAAACGCCGCUAAAGACCAGAGCAUUAGCGGCGCUUUUGGUAAAACGCCGCUAAAGACCAAAGCAUUAGCGACGUUUUUGGUAAAACGCCACUAAAAGUCAUAUAACUCUUAAAAUCCUAAACCCCAAAAAACAUAAAACACCAAUCUAUAACCCUAAAAUAGUAAACCUUUAAACCCUAACAAGCCGUAAACACUAAACUAUAACACCUAAAAUCCUAAACGUCGCAAUAGGUGCAUUUUUAGUGGCGCUAGUUUAAAUUAUAGGUUAAUGUUUGGGGUUUAUGGUCUAGGAUUUAUGAUUUAGGGUUUUGGAUUUAGGGGUUGGGGUUUAGGGGUAAAUAUAGUGAACUACUUAACUUGUGUAUCUUGGAUUUUUUUAUAAUAUAAAUCUAAAUAAGAUAAAUAUAAAUUAUUAUUUUAAAAAUAUAUAUAUCAAAAUGGGUUAAAUCCCAAAAGUAUAAAUUAUGAACACAAUUAUUGAUAUAAUAUCAUUUUAUAUUUAUAUAUUGCAUACAUAAAUAUUUAUAUUUAUUCAAUAUAAAAAUAUAUUGAUGUAUUUAUUUUUUAAAACGUGUAUGAUUAAAUCAAAAUUAAAGUUUUAACUAUACAUUUAAACCACAAUUAAAAUUUUAAGUCUACAAUUACACAUUAAACCGAAAUUCAUAUAUAAUUCUGAAAUGUAUCUCUAUCAAAAUUUAGGUGUAUACAUAUAAUUAAAUAUAAUUUAAAUUAUUUAAGAGAUAAUGAUAAAGUUUAUAUAUAUAAAAACAAAAUAAAAAAUUUUUAACAGAGCAAAAAAGUGAGAAAAUGACUUUUUGUGGCGUUUUUAUUAAAAAUGUCGCAAAAAAAUAAACAAUAGUGGCGUUUUUUAUAAUUUUUUACACAAAACGGUACGGUGUUGUUACCCAAAAUGCAUUAGACUUUUUCGUUCCCCCUUCCCCCCGAGAUCCCAAAAUUUGACAAGAAAUCUUUCUUUCUUCCCUCCUUUCUUUCCCCAAAAUCGGUUCCCUCCCCCCUCCCCAAAGAAAUCCUAAAAUUUCACUUGAAAUUUCUUCUCUUUUCUUUCCCAUUUUAUUUUUCCCAAACCAUUUCUCCCCUACCCCGAUUCCCUUUAUUUUUUCCCCCAAUUUCCCCAAAUUGGUAACUCCAUGAUGUUCUCUCUCUGAUAUGUUUGCUUAUUGGAUGUAUUGCUCGGACUUUAUAUUGUUGUUUGAAAUAUCUUCACUGAAAUUGGUCAAUUGAACCCCUUAUCCAUGCCCGCCGAUCCCAAGCCCUCCUACGCCUUCAGCUCCCUCCGUGAUCGUAGUAGGGACAUUCUCAGCGUCGUCGUCGCUCUCCUCUUCGGCGUCGGCUGUGGCUCUCUCACUGCCGCCGCCAUUUACUUGGUCUAGAUUAUCUUCACGGCCGUUGCGAGUACCAUGAGGAUGAUGAGUCUGACGAAGAAUUUAGCCCUAAAAAAUGGGGUAUGUCAACAUUCCUGCGAAUCCUGCUGUUAACGUUAAGGAAUCCUGCUGUUAACGUUAAAGAUGAUUAAGGUUGAUGGCUGGAAAAGAAAUCAUCUUGUUUAUUACUCAAAAUUGUUGGUAAGGGUGUAUGAUUUAUAGACUUGUAGAUGUAACUAGAGCUCUACCAUCAAUAGAUAGGAAAAGUUACUGGACAAUUAUACAUUAUUGUUUGAUAUAUUUAUUAUUUUACUUAAUAUUUGACUAUCUUUAUAUAUGGACACUAUUUUAGUUGUAUAAGAACUAAGACUUUAUCCUUUAUAUGUAUCAGCAAGCCAUAAAACAUAAAGAUUUAAGUAACCAUAGGAAGUUACUAUGGAAUAGAAGGCUAGGAUGCAAUGCUCUAUAAUUUGAAAUAAUUUCUCUUCAUCUGGCCUCUUAAAUUUUCAUGGAAUCUCUACACCUAGGAUUCUACUCCUCAAUGAUUGUCUUCUAAAGAUCACCAUUAACAGUGAGCAUGUUUAUGUUUCUAAAAGCAAGUUAUUUUGCAUUUGAAGUAUUUGUUUCAAGCUAAUUUAGGGUUGCCAGUGACGUCUUGGUUUAAUGGCAAGGAGGAGGCUAUGGGACUUUGAGAUCCCUAGUUUGAGUCUCACCAUGUGUGGGCUUAGUGUAUUUUGGAGAUGGACAGAUGUAUUUUGGAGAUGGGAGCCAUACAUGCUGGUGACUUCAUGGUGAGUUCCUCUCUUUGCCAUAUGUUUGGGAGCAUUUCCAUGGUUGAAUAUUGAAUUAUUUAUUUUUUCUUACCAUUUAUGGUUGCUGCUGACUUUAUUUUGUUUAAUUAUUAGAGGCGGUUAAGUUGAUUAACUGCUUGAUUGGGAAAGAAUUAGAAAUGUUUGAGUUAUUAUUCGAAUGGUGAACUAAAGAAAAAGAAGCUGAUAGAGCAGUAACUGACAAUUAUGGUUGAGAUUUUGCAAUAAUUGCAUACUUUUUAAAGAUUAUUAUUAUAAUGGUGACUUAUGAAAUGUUGGUAGUGAGAACCAACACCUUUUGGGAAUAUGGAUGUUUAUAAGUAUCUUGCUAUUUAUUUUCUCGAAAUCAUUAGUCAACUUCAUUGAUAGUUCGGGUAUUCCAUGUUCUUGCCAAUUAGGUAGAUCCUUGCAACCAAAUUGUUCAUUCAAUUCGGUUACUUGUCUUUUGCAUGUUUUGGAAAGUUUAAAGACACUGAAAGGAAAAGAAAUAAAAUAAAAUGAUUCUCCUUUACAUUAUUCCAUGACUUCUCACAGAUGUCAUCUUAUUUUCUCCCAUUGUUUAUCUUUACUGCUUUUUUAACUCUUGGAGCUUGAUAAGAUGAAUGUUUUAUUCACUUAAUAUAUACUUGCUAACAAGUUGCAUAAUUUUCGCAGGCAGAGCCCUAUAUCAAUUGCAGCUGCUGUUAUUUAUAUAAUAACAUAGCUUUCGAAUGAUAAGAAGCCACUUAAAGGUUUGAUAUUAUUUCCUUCUUACUUAUUAACUAAAAUUAAGAUGUUUCAUGUACUCCUUUUAGGUGCUGAGGUUUUAUAUCGAAUAACCCAACAUGGUGUCUAAGCAAUGUUUUUGUGUAUUAAAAUUUUAAAAAAAAGAACGGUGACAUCAAAAAAUUUUGAGCUACUGUUAUGUUUCUCUGAAAAAUGAACAAAUGAAUGCGCAGAUAUUUCUGUUGCUACGGGAGUUGCGGAAGGGACAAUCCGAAAUUCAUAAAAGGAUCUUUAUCCCCAUGUGUCCAAGAUAAUACCAAACUGGUAUGCCAAGGAAGAAGAUAUCAAGAACCUAUGCAGUCCUUGAAUUACAGAACAGACAAUAAUGGAGAUACCACAAACAAAACCCUCAAAGUGCUGAGUUCUCUCUCUCGGGAUCUCGUGGAACUCUCGGUACAUUCUGAUAAUGAUGUUCUAUUUUUUUUUUAUGCGUGUUUGAAGUUUUAGCAAAUAUUUUGAGGCUGUAUCAUUGCUGUUUAUCACCUAUAAUUUAUUCCACUAGGAUUCUUUAUAUCUUUCUUACAUUUGGCAGAUUAGUACGCAUAACACCUGGCGUAGGUAGAUUUGUUGCUAGGAGUUACAGUCCAAGGUGAGAAAAAUCUCUCCACAACUAAGGUUCUUUCUACCGUAAAUUAUUGAUAAUUAUUUACUACUGAUUGCUUGCAGACAGUUGGUCAGCGCGUCACCUGGAAUUCCAUUAUUUGAGAUUUUUGUGGUUAAAGAAGAUGAAGAAAUAUAUCUUAUGCAGGUAAAGUAGUAAUGUGCCUUAAUUUAUUAUUAUUUUUUGUUUGGGGCAAGGGGCAUAAAUUGAUUCUAAAUUAUGACAUCUUCAAAAUUUGGUGAAUUCAGAGUAUUUAAUGAUACCAUGAGUCAUGAGUGCAGUUAAAUGCUGUGUGUGGUUUGUUUGCUUUGUGUGGCUUUUUGCUGAUUGAUAUGAGUUGAAAUACUUUGGCACCAUGCCUUAGUGGCAUCAACUAGUACGACCACGUUUGGAGGGAUCUUGAGUCUUAGAUAUGUGGAACCUCUUCGAGAGAGAUUUGGGUUAAUCCACUUUGACUCUGGAAUUCCAUUAGGUUGGUUAAGUAGCUGCUAGGUUAUCGAUCAUAGUUCAUAACUUCCUUUCUGAUCCAAUCAUAGUAUAGAAGGGUCUACAGAUUGAUAAGAUAAACAGAAAAAUGAAGGCCUUGCUAAUUAGAAUCAGUCUUUUUUUUUUGGGUAAAGUAGAAAAUGAACAAAAAGAAAGAAAGAGAGCAUGUUUUCCUUGGCUAGGAAGAUCUUGGUACAACAGUAGCUCAAGGACCUUUCAGUUAUAGUUCAUGGUUAGAUAUACUGUUCAUAAGUGUUUAUCUAAGUACUUAAUUGGGGCUUCCUUUGUGUGUUUUGCUUGUCAUCUUUUUCACGAACACCAUAUCUGAAUUGCUUUUGGAUAAGUGCUUUGCUGCAUGCUGCUUUCUCUGUUUCGCAUCAUGAAACAGUUCUGGGUGUGUUUGUUCAGUAACUGAGCCUUGCUGCAGUAGGAUAAAUUUUUUGGAUUAUAUAAUUUGGUCCAUGGAAUCUUGAAAUUCUGGAUUAAAUAUUUUGGGUGGUAAAUCUGCCUAAACAUGGAUAUUCUUAGACGUGUAAUGUUAUUCCUGUGUAAGUUUGGAACAUGAUAUUUUCAUUUUAUUUAACUGUAAGUUGGUUUCUGGAUGCAUAUACACAUGUUAUGUAUCUAUUUGCAUGUUAGUCUUCGGCAUCUCUUAACCAGUGUGUGAUGUAUAUCUCCUGUAAAGUGAUCUAAAGUCUUCUAAUACAAUCUGUUGCAGGUAGUUUAUUUGCAGCGUGCUAAAGGAAGUUCUAUGAAUAGUACCACCUCACCUUCCAGGCCUACAAAUACCCCAUCCUAUGACCAUGAAAAGCUACUUACCAGAAAAUUUUUGAUUAAUUCAAUCUAUCUAUUGGACGUUUUCAGUAAACCAUUAAGCAUGCUCUAAUGCUCAUACAGACCAAGGCAUGAACCCUGUUAUUGAAUUCUUUCAUUUUCUUCCCUAGGUUGCAUUAUGAGAAGCAAUGCUAUCUGAUAUAUUGUGUUCAAUAUGAACAAUGUAUGUCAAUGUAUUGAAUUUGGUGUAAGGUUUGCCUGAAUAUCUCUACUAUCUCAUUCAUUUGACUUUAUUUAGAACCUCGUAUUGAGUACGUUAAUUCAUACUUUUGAGACUUCUAAUUGAUGGGAAAACUUUAAAAUACAGGUUGCAUGUUACAAAGGUCAGGGAAGAAUAGAAGAAUUUGUUUUCCGUAACCCGCGAUGGGUCGAUGGCGAACUUCUCCAACUUAAUGGCAAGGUAAUAAAAUAUUCAGAACUUUAUGCUAAUAAUAUGAUGUGACUUGCAACUUAAAAUUAUUUUGUUGAGUUUUCAAAACUAUAUGAAUUGAAGGAAAAUCCCUUGUGGAUGGUCAUAUGCAGGGCAUUGGACCCUAUGUCAAAGGAGCUGAUCUAGGUUUCCUUUACAUUGUGCCCGAGCAAAGUUUCCUUGUGCUACACAACCGUUUAAUAUAUAAAUAUAUUUGUAUAAAGUAGUUUAAUUUUUUUACUAAUUUAAAUAUUUUUUUAUUUUUAUAUUUGUAAAAGAACUUAGUUAUAAAAUAAAAAAUUUUAAAUUUAGUUUGGUUCAGAUGAUUAUAGUUUUCUAACUUACAAACAGUGAAUCAAAUUGAAAUCAAUUUAUUUGAAUAAAUUAAAAUUAAAUUGAAAUAAUGAAUUUUAAUUUUUUUUAUAUUUUUCAUGACCUUUAUAAUAUUUUGUAAUAUUUUUUUUUGAAUUUCAUGACUUUUAGCGGCGUUUGUGGGAAAAGCACCGCUAAAGGUCAUGAUCUUUAGCGGCGUUUGUGGAAAAAGCGCCGCUAAAGGUCAUGAUCUUUAGCGGCGUUUGUGGGAAAAGUGCCGCUAAUGGUCAUGAUCUUUAGCGGCGUUUUUUCAAAUAAAUGCCGCAAACUUUAAUGGCGCCGUCUAUAGAGGCGUUUUUUGCGGCGGCGCCGUUAAUAGUUUUAGUGGCGCUUAGAAGCGCCGCUAAAGACCUUAAAAAACGUCGCUAAAAAUCAAUUUUGCUGCAGUGUAUAUUGUGUACAUUUACAUGUCUGAAUUGAAUAUAGUAUAAGUAAAUUGUGAAUUUGUUAUGAAUAUCAAAAUGAUUAUAUAUCCGACAUGUUUGAGAAAUGUUAAGUCCCGUCUGAACAAAUGAAAAUCGAUGGUUGCAAGUUUCUCGAUUGGUUGUGAUGUAGCAUAUGUUGCAGAAACACCAUAGCUUGAAAGACCAUCUCGUUAUAAGCCCUCUUGAGCUUCCCGUUAUAUGGUUCUUGCGAACUUCACGUUAUGGUUCUUCGGAGUGUCUCGAUAGGUUGUGAUCCUACAUGUGUUGUAGAAACACCUUAGCUUUUAUGAGCUUCUUGAUAUGGGCUUUUCGUGAGCUUCUUGUUAAAUUAGCUCUUUAUGAGCUUCCCGAUAGUGCUCGCUUGAACUUCCCAGUAUAUGGUUAUCUGGAGCUUUCCGAUAGGCUCUUCGUGAGCUUCCCGAUUAAAAGUUCUUUGUGAACUUCCUAAGUAUGGUUCUUAUGAGCUUCCUGUUAUAGCCUGGAUAAGCUUCCCGUUACAUGGCUCACAUGAGUUUCUUGUUAUACGGCUCGAGAGAGUGCUUCCUGUUUAGGUGUUCUCAUGAACACUUCUUAAUGUCAAUUGACGGAUUAUAGAUUCGUACACUUCAUGUGUACUAUCGGAUAUCCAUCGAUAUUUCAUAAGGUUCAACGGUCAAAAUUUCGAUAGAAGUUGAGAUAAUGUCUGAAAUAAAUAAUAAUAUUAACUGCUUGAAAUUACAUAGAAUUGUUUACAUGAUGAGCUCAUCUUUGUUAUUUGAAAAUACUUGGAAAUCAUGACUAACUUGCUUGAUGAGUAUAUGUGUUUAAGCAAAUGGCCAAUUUGCUUUGGAUACAUGUUGUUUGUAUGUUUACUUUAAAUGAACCUGAGUGGUAAGUUAAAUUCCCGUUAUGCGAACUUACUAAGCAUUAAAUGCUUACUUGGUUUUCUUUUCUCUGUUUUAUAGUGCUCGGAAGCUCAUAAAGGUUGGAAAUUGGUCGGAGCAUCAUCACACUAUCCUUCAGAUUGUUUUGGUAUAAAUAACAAACUUUUUUUUGAUAUAAUGGCAUGUAUAGACUAAGUUGGCUAUGUAAAUGGUUGUUUGUAUCUAGCUAUUGGAAUGGCUAGUGAUGACAUAUUUGAUGUAUAUGUAAGAGGAUAUAUCAUGUUUAAUAUAUGCAUAUUUAGUAAGGUUGAAUUGAAUUCUGAUAAAUUUACAUGAUUACACAAUUAGGUAAGUUGGAAUACAUGAACAUAUGUGAUGAAAUGUCAUACAUAAUACUUGUAUUUGACUUGAUUUAAAUGUAUUGAAUUGGUUGGUGAAUAUACUUAAAUAUUGUUGUAGGUGGAAAGCAAAAUGGGUGAGAAAUAUGGCCUAUUUUCGUCCACACGGGCAAAGACAUGGGCAUGUGUCUCAGCCGUGUGCGACACGGCCUUGCACACGGGCAUGUGGUUGGGCGUGUGACACAUGUCAGAGAGUUACACGGGUAUGAACACGUGUUAGGAUAUGGCCGUGUGCCUUACAUCGAAUGCCCACACGGCUUGGAACAUAGGCAUGUCACUCACACGGCCUACCUACACAGGCGUGGGUCCCCUACAUUUAAGAAAAAUUUUGAAAAUUUUAGUUAAAUUUUCUGAGUUCUCGAUUUAGUCUCGACUUGUUUCUAAUACAUAUAUUGGGCCUCGAGGGUCCAUUUAAGGGAAAAUAUGAUUGAAUAUGUUUGGUUUCGAUUAUGAAUAGUAAAUGAAAUGAUUUAACCGUAAUUAUUCUAUAAACUACGGUAAUGCUUUGUAACUUUGUUUCGGUGUCAGAUAUGGGUUAAAUGUGUUACAUAACAGUUCAAAAUAAAAUAUUAUAUUCAUUGAAUAAUUAAAUAAAUAAAAUAAUGAGCCUAAAAUAAUUUUAUAAUUAAAAACGAGCCGAGACUCUAGAUGCCAUGUUCGUGUCCUAACCUGGUGAGUUAUCUGUAAGUAUGAAAAUUUAAGGGGGAGUGAGCUAUAACACUCAGUGGGAGUUCCAUCACAAGAAAAUCAGUGCAAAUUAAUAAACUAAGCAUACAUAAUAACAAUUUUUAGUACGAUAAUAAUCAUAUGAUAUAACGAUAUUUUUGGCAGUUCAACAACCAUACUUAUAUGUGUCGAUGCAAUGCUAUACAAGUUAAGUUUAUCAGUAAAGAUAGGUCCUACCCCACCGCUACACUCCACAGUAAGAGUUUCCCAGAAAUCUUAUAUCUCGGACACUCUAAUUUGUGGAUGAACCACAAGUGUUCCAGGUUAAUAUGCUACCAAUAGUUGUGAAUACACAAUGGGUUUGCAGAUAGAAGUUGCUAGUAAAAGAUGUGGAUAAACCACUAGUAUUUGCAGGUUAAUACGCUGCCAAUGGUUGUGAAUACACGGGUUUGCAGAUAAAAACUACCACUAAUUUGUGGAUAAACCACCAGUGUUUUGUAGUUAAAAUUGCCAGUAUUUCCUCUUUAAAAAGAAUCCUACCCUAUGCAAUAUAGUAUGACAUGUAAGUAUCAAUACAGUACAGAAACAAUAGACAUGUUUGUCCUGGAUUUGGUAUGUCAAUAUAGUAAGCAUGCUAUUCACGCAAUUAGUAAUUUUGCGAUACUAGUAAAAAUAACAAUUAAUCAGUAAUUUAGUCAUAGAAGACAUGUAUUCAUCACAUAUCAUGCACAUAUAGUAAUAAUCUAAUAAAUCAAACAAUUUAUUCCACGUUAUUCAUAAUAUCAGAGACUUAAUUAAAAGAAAUAAAGCACUAAAAACAAUUCAAUGAUCAUGCAUGGAUUAAAUUGAACAAUUUACAAAAAUUUUGGGAAAAAUUGUAAAAUGGGGGCACAUGGCCGUGUGGAGGGGUUACACGGUGGUAUGGUUAGGCCGUGUAAUAGAUUGUGGCUGUGUGGAAUUUACAAAAUCAAGGUACAGGGGAGACACAAUUAUGUGGCAGGCCGUGUGAGAAUUGAAUAUCCUAAGGUUUCAGGGGGACAUGGUCGUGUGAGGGGUCGUAUGGUCCACAUGUGUAUCCCACAUGCCCGUGUGGUUGGCCAUAUGACCUUAUUUCGAGGUAUGAUUUAUCCCAAUUCGCUUGUAAAAUAACACACAUUCCACCGGGAUCUCGAAUGACAUCCCUCACAAUCAAAUUUGGUCUGAUGCACCUGUAACGGGUCCUUCAAACAACAUUUAUACACGGGUUAAUGUUUAUUUUCAAAAUCUAUCAAGAUUACCAGGAAUUUCAGCAAGAUUCGUAGAAUAUUCAUCAAUUAAAAUGAAAGAUUAGCAUCAGAUGCAAAAACUACGAGAAUUUGGGAUUAGUUAUCAGAAUUUAAUUGAACUUGCCAACAAUUCUUAGCAAGGAUUAAGAACAUUCCUAAUGGCGACUAUAAAACCGAUUAAAAAAUGUCUUAAAUCGAGAAUAGAUUUUGAUCCGGGAAGAAAUAAUAAAUUCAGCAAUGGAGAGAAAAUAUCUUGCAAAGAAGAAGCUAAGAAAGAAAAGAGAGAAGAAGUAGGGAAAAAGAAAUAAAAAUUUUCUGUUUGGUUUGGAAAAGGAAACAAGUGUUCAAAUGCAAUUAGGAAAAUGAUUAAAUAUUUAGGGGUUUCAAACUUUUAGGGGGUUGGAUAGCAAUUUAUCCCUGCUUCCGAAAAUAAAAGGAUAAUGAAGGAGAGUGAUUAGGCUUGAUCUUGAGCAUGCAAGGGAAAAGUGUAAAGACUUAAUCAUUGACUUGUUGCCCAUAAUUUGUUAAGUUUUUACUCUAAAUUAUAUAUGUUUUAAUGUGGUUUUCAUCCUAAGUUGCUAAAAAUAAAAGGAAAAAAAAUGAGAGAAGAGUGAAUAGAACCUAAGACCUUUAAAAAGUACACUAAUUACUUAACCAUGAAGCCUAGGUUAAUUUUUGAUUAAUUAUUUCAAUUAAUCUUCUAUAUUUCAAGGCGUGACAGUUAUAACUAAGAAUUAUAAUUAAUUUAUAAAUAUUUUUAAAUAUCAAUUUAAUAAUAUGUUAGAAAAAAAUAUUCUUAUCAGUUCAAAAUUUUUUCAACUCAUAUAUAUAUUAUAGAUGAUUAGAUAUCAAAUUUAAUUAUAAAAACUUAAAAAGUCCAACCCGCUGGCAUACAUGUAAAUUACCAUCAACCUAACGCUUCGUUUGUUUGCCAGUAAAAUAUUUUCCGGAAAAUGAUUUCUGGAAAAUGAUUUACUUUUCUGGAAAUGAUUUAAUUUUCUGGAAAUGAUUUACUUUUCUGGUGUUUGAAUGAAUCUGUGUAAAAUAUUUUCUAUUGUUUGGUAGAUUUCCUAAAAAUAUUUUCCGGAAAAGCUAUUUUUAUAUAUAUUAAUAAAUUUAUAUUUUAAAUUAUUUUUACAUAUAUUGCAAUGAUCAAAUUAAAUAUAUAAUAAUACUCAAUUAUUGCAUUGUUCAUUCUUCAUUCGGAUUUAUUGCAUUGUUGCUCUAGAUUUAGAUAGAGCUUCAUACUUCAUCCGGAUAAAUUGCUCAAAAACUCCAACAAAUGUAACUUUAUAAAGAGGAACAAAAAAUCAGAAAGAAAACCAUUUGUUUGACUAUAUAGAGCUAAUAAUUUAUGCAUGAACUCGAAUGUUGGAUCACAUAAACAACAUUUUGCAAGAGAACAGAAAAGAUACAUGACAAAUGCACUUAAAUGGGGGCAUGCAUACCCAUGUUACGCCAGUGCAUGAAAACUUACCUAAACAAUACCUAGAACAUCAAUAAGCCUGCACCUUGCAGAGGAAACAACAAAGCAAAGAAAGAUUAUAGCACUAUAAUGGAAUUUUCUCCACCAAUGAAGAUGGCUAUUUCAAGCAAACAAAUGGCUCUGAGUUUUAAUUGAUUUGUGCAUUCAUGAAGCUAAAAAGAAGAGCACAUAUGAAUUUCUUGAUGGACAUUUUAUAACUUUCAAUAAUUAGGUGAUCAAAAAGAUAAUUUACUAAUAAUUGAGUGAUAUUUUUUAACUUUGCAUAGUUAAGUUACCAAAAGGGAAAAAACCAUAGUUAAGUGGCCUCUACUAUAAUUUACCCAAAGAUAUAUAAAUACACUUGCAACAAUAUUUCUUAUUUCAAUUUUUGAAAAAUUUAAACUUUUAAUUAAAUUAAUAUUCGAUUAAAGUAACAUUUUUAACUUAAAAAUGUUCUAAUUUUUACCAGCAAUCUUGGCUGUUCUUUCCUAAAAGAAAAAAAAAAGAACAGAAACCUAAGCAAAAAAAUAAGUUACACGUAGUGUUGUUGUAAGUCAAAUUUUACAGGCUAUUCUCUGCCAUUUAUCAUCCACCCCCCAUUAUAAGUAUACAAGCUGUGUACAUUAAUGCAUAGAAGUUAAAACCUCCAAAACAUUAAGUUAUUGUCUCUGCCACAUUAUUACAAGUAUUUGCAUGUCUAGAGCAUAAACUACGGCUGAAAGCUAAUGGUUCUUAGAGCUGUAAGACUGAUUUAAUGAUGAAUAUACACUUCACUGACAAUGGGUUGAGCAUAAAUUCAAUCGCAGAUAAAUUUUAGCUACUUCUUUCAGUAAUCGACUCCUCUCUAGUUUCACUUUAACAUCCAUUUAGAUCCUGCCAUUUGAGGUGAAAAAGCUGGUGGUGUGCCCAGCAAUGUCGAACUUCCCGGGCAUUCACCGUUUAGGUAUCCUUGUCACAUAGGCCAAAGCUCUAAUGCCAUAAAAAAGCCCCAUCAAAACCUCAUACCCAGUUGUGUGAAGUGCCUCAGGCUGGUGCCAGAACAAGAUGAGCUUGUGAAGAAUGGGUGCUAUUCCUGACAUGCCCAUGCCAAAGAAGAGGGAUGCACGAAUGCUGCGAAACUCUGGAUUCUAAAACCCUGGCAAUAAGGAAACUAAGAUCGUUGCGACUCCCAAGAUGGUUAUGAAUCCCAAAUAGAGGUUGCAAAAGAAUGGAUCACACAUGAAGGAGUAAUACACUGGAGGAUAGAAGGAAGUAGAAAUGAGAGCCGCGAUCCCAGCAUAGUCUAGCCUGAGCAUGAUAUAUAAUAGGCGCUCAGAGUGGCAAGAGAGAAGGUGGCAUGUGAUGCUAGCCAGCAAGCAGAACAUUGCACCACCCAAGAAGGCAAAGAAAGGCCACCGUGUUAUCGGCCUCACCAUCAGGGGUGCUAUUAUGUUUGCCAAAUCCUCCUUCACGCUUUGUUGCAAUUAGAAAGAAUAAAAUGUAUUAGCUGCAUGAAACUCCCACAUGCAUAGUGUAACCAUUGGUAUUAAAAGAACAGAUAUCACUACGUCAUAGAAAACCACCGUAAUAAGACAAAGAAACAAAAUACAAAGAAGAAAUCAAAGAAUUAGAAAAAAAAAUCUGUUGUGCGGAAGCGUGUAAAAGAGUAAAAUUAUUGUACUAAAAAAUCACACUAAGUUCAAUUCCCAGGAAAGAGAGGUGGAUCACAAGGAUCGCUUAAGUACCAGGUCUUUCCUAGCCAGAAUAUCCCUCAAUCGUAAUUUAAUAGCAUAAUAAAUCACUACAAUCACACACACAAUUCAUGUAGAAUAAUACAAUAAAGAAUACAAGAAUUUAACGAGGUUCAGCAAAUUUUGCCUACAUCCUCGGGCACUACCAAAUAUAUUUCACUCCAAAAUACAAGUGAGAAUUUACAAAGAGAGAGAGAGAAAACAAUGCCUUAAGUAGAGAAUGGCAAGUUUGAGAUGCAGAAUGAGAGAUGGUUAUGCCUAUUUAUAGUUGAGGUUCAGGGAUCAACUUGCAAAGUCACUUUACAAUUAGGGACCAUAUAUUGCAAAUAUCUCAGAUUUUAUUAUGCCAAUAUCUCGAUACCCAUAUAUUUGACUUUCCAAUAUUUGAUACCCAUAUCUUUGACUUUCCAAUAUUUGAUACCCAUAUCUUUGACUUUCCAUUAUUUGAUACCCAUAUAUUUGAUUUUCCAUAAAUAUGGAUAAUUCCCAAUAAUCUCCACCUUGAAGAUUUGAUUCGAGUAAUCUUAUCAUCACACAAUUCUCUCUGCCUUUGUCAACAACACUUGAUAGUGCCUUCUUCAACUGUUAAACAUGCAGAAUAUUGAUCAAGUUCAAACAAUGUUCGAACUUGAUUGUUGUUACCACCUUGGUCAUCAUAUCUGCGGGAUUAUCUGCAGUCUUAAUCUUCUGAAGGUGAAUUUUCCCCUCAUCAAUAAUUUUCCGCACAAAGUGGAAACGUACAUCGAUAUGCUUUGUACGUGCAUGAUAGACUUGAUUCUUUGCUAAAUGAAUAGCACUUUGACUAUCACAAUACACAUUAAUAUGCUCCUGGACCAAUCCCAAGGUUUUAACCAUACCUUGUAACCAAAUAGCUUCCUUUACAGCCUCUGUUACAGCCAUGUAUUCAGCUUCUGUGGUUGACAACGCAACUGUAGACUGCAGUGUAGACUUCCAACUUAUUGGUCCUCCAGCAAGAGUAAACACAUAACCAGUGGUUGAUAUUCGUUUGUCCAAAUCACCGGCAUAAUCAGAAUCAACGUACCCAACAAGACCUUUACCAAGUGUAGUAUCCUGCUUGAACAGUAAUCCAAUAUCCAUGGUCUUAUGAAUAUACCGUAGAAUCCAUUUCACAGCUUGCCAAUGUCCUUUUCUAGGAUUAUGCAUAUACCUGCUCACUAUACUAACUGCCUGUGAAAUGUCGGGUCUUGUACACACCAUUGCAUAUAUCAAGCUACCCACUGCAUUAGAAUACGGAACUUGCAACAUGUAUUCUCGUUCCGUAUUCGUCGAAGGAGAUAGUUGUGCAGAAAGCUUGAAAUGAGAAGCCAACGGGGUACUUACAGGUUUUGUCUGCUCGUUCAUGCCAAACUGCUGUAGUACCUUUUUCAAAUACUGCUUCUGAGACAAGCUAACUCUAUCAUGAGCUCUAUCUCUCCAUAUUUCCAUGCCGAGAAUCUUUUUAGCUUCUCCUAGAUCUUUCAUCUCAAACUCGAGAUUGAGUUGAGUGUUCAAUCUUUCAAUCUCAACUUUGCUCUUAGAUGCUAUUAGCAUAUCAUCAACAUAUAAGAGCAAGUAUAUGAAAGUUCCUUCUUGUAGCUUCUGAAAAUACACGCAAUGAUCAAAUUUACUUCUUGUGUACCUUUGCCCUUUCAUGAACUGAUCAAAUCGCUUGUACCACUGCCUCGGAGAUUGCUUCAAUCCAUAAAGUGACUUUGUCAGUUUGCAAACCCAAUUUUCUUUUCCAGCAACCUUGAAUCCAUCUGGCUGAGUCAUAUAGAUUUCUUCUUCCAAAUCACCGUGUAAAAACGCGGUCUUCACAUCAAGCUAAACUAGUUCAAGAUCAUAUUGCGCAACCAAGGCUAGCAAAAUCCGAAUAGACGAAUGCUUCACAACUGGAGAAAACACUUCAUUGUAGUCUAUUCCUUCUUUCUGAGCGUAACCCUUUGCUACUAAUCUAGCCUUGUAUCGAAUUUCAUUUUUAUCAGGAAAUCUUUCCUUCCCUGGGGUAGUGUCACCAACUCCCAAGUCCUAUUUUUAUGAAGAGACUGCAUUUCUUCAUUCAUAGCUUGCUUCCACUUUACACUAUCAGAGUUACUUCUUGCUUCUGUGUAAGUAGAAGGAACAUCAUCAUCUGCAAUUGGAAGUGCAUAGGCCACCAUAUCAUCAAAGCGAGCAGGCAUACGAAUCUCUCUUCUUGGCCUUCUAUAUGCAAUUGAAUCAUGUUGUUGUAGAAGUUCUUGGGUCGAAACUUCUUCAUCAUUUGUUCCUUCAAUAUUAGCUGGAUCAUCAUUAACCUUUUCAAGCUCCACCUGCUGCAAAGUGCCACUGGUUGUGUUAUCCUUUUGUGAAUCAUUGUUCUUCAUCAUGGUUGAUUCAUCAAAAGUCACAUCUCUACUGAAAAUUAUUUUUCUUGUAUCAGGACACCAGAGACGGUAUCCUUUUACCCCAUCAGUUAUACCCAAGAAUAAUACUUUCUUUGCUCUUGGGUCUAACUUAGAUUCUUUUACAUGAUAAUAUGCAGUGGAACCAAAUACAUGCAAAGAAUCAUAAUCAGUAGCAGAUUUACCAGUCCACAUCUCCAUAGGAGUUUUUCCAUUUAUUGCAGCUGAUGGCAAACGGUUAAUUAGAUGGCACGCAUAUGUAACUGCCUCAGCCCAAAAUUCUUUGCCAAUCCAGCAUUGGACAACAUACAUCAAACUUUCUCCAGUAUAGUUCGAUUCAUUCGUUCUGCCACCCCAUUUUGCUGUGGUGUAUCCCGAACAGUGAAGUGUCGCACAAUGCCCUCAUCUUGGCAUACUUGUAGAAAUGGAUCGUUUUUAUACUCAGUACCAUUAUCUGAUCGAAGUCGUUUGACCUUUCGACCAGUCUGAGUCUCCACCAUCUUCUUCCAUUUCAGAAAUGCAUCCAAAACUUCACUUUUUCUUUUCAUUAGAUACACCCAUACUUUUCUUGAAUAAUCAUCAACAAAAGUAACAAAAUAGUGCAUACCUCCCAAAGAAGCUACUUUGGUAGGUCCCCACACAUCACUGUGAACGUAGUCCAGAAUUCCUUUCGUAUUGUGAAUUGCUGGACCAAAUUUUACCCUCUUCUACUUGCCCAGAACACAAUGUUCACAGAAUUCCAUUUUGCAAGAAUUUGCACCUUUCAAUAAGCCUUGCUUCACCAAUGUCUGCAAAGCUUUUUCACCAGCAUGUCCCAAUCGCAUAUGCCAUAAUCUGGUAGCCUCUGAAUCUACAUCUUUUGUAGAAACUGUUGAUGUUGAUCCAAUAACUGUACUUCCAUUUAAAAAAUACAAGUUAUUUCUUCUUGUGCCUUUCAUCACCGUCAGUUGCCCAGCUACUACUUUUAGUAAUCCAUCUCUCAAAGUGAUUGUGAGCCCUUUAGAUUCUAGGGCACCUAAUGAGAUGAGAUUUUUCUUCAGGCUAGGUACGUAGCGAACAUCUGUCAAGACUUGGAUUGAGCUGUCGUGAUUCUUCAAUUGGACUGUACCCACUCCCAUUGUCUUACAAGCACUAUCAUUUCCCAUAAGAACAAUUCCACCUUCUAGCUCUUUAAGACUAGAAAACCAGUCCUUAUUAGGACACAUAUGGUAAGUACAUCCUGAAUCCAAAAUCCACUCAUCCGUUUGACAUGCCAUUGCCAUGCCAACCAAGCUAAAGUCUGACUCCUCAUCAUGCUCCGCUACACAUGCAUUAGAAAUAGCCUUGCCCUUUUGUAGCUUAGGACAAUUCUUUUUCCAAUGCCCUUUUUCACGGCAAAAGGCACAUUCAUCUUUGGCGGGUCUCCCUUUGGACUUUCCCCUUCUACCAGAUUUGCUGCUGUGUGAACGACCUCUUACUGUUAAGACUUCUGCGGUUGUAUCUCUGUGAUCUCUUUUAUCUUUCUUUCGAGUCUCAGAUCUAUACAACGUACUACAGACUGCAUCAAAUGUGAUCGUGUCCUUCCCAUGAAGCAAUGUGGUGGUAAGAUGAUCAUAUUCAUCAGGAAGGGAAUUCAACAACAAUAAUGCCUUGUCUUCAUCUUCAAAUUUCUCAUCCAAAUUUAGCAAGUCUGCUAAAAUUUUAUUGAAUGAGUUCACAUGGCCAUUCAUCGACAUACCGAGUGCAUACGUGAAUCGAUAAAGUUUCUUUUUCAUAUAAAGCCUAUUUUCAAGACUUUUUGUUAGAAACUUUUCUUCCAGUGUAUCCCACAACUUCUUCGCUGAUGUCUCCCUCAUGACAGAGUACUUCUGCUCUUUGGCCAAACAUAGGCGAAUUGUUCCACAUGCCUGUCUAUUGAUCUUGGCCCACUCCUUGUCAUCUAUCUUGUCAGGUUUUUCUUCAAGGGCUAUAUCCAACUCUUGCUGACAUAAGACAUUCAGGAUCUCACAUUGCCACAUACCAAAAUUAUUGGUACCAUCAAAUUUCUCUACUUCAAAUUUCGCAUUGGUCACAGUAGUCUUUGACGAUGACUUUUCCAUUUUUUCUCCUCAAUCCCAACUACAGUACGUGAACAAUGCCGUGAACGAUUGUAUUCCCCAAGUACGAAUCUAGCUUUGAUACCAAUUAUUGUGCAGAAGUGUGUAAAAGAGUAAAAUUAUUGUACUAAAAAAUCACACUAAGUUCAAUUCCCAGGAAAGAGAGGUGGAUCACAAGGAUCGCUUAAGUACCAGGUCUUUCCUAGCCAGAAUAUCCCUCAAUCGUAAUUUAAUAGCACAAUAAAUCACUACAAUCACACACACAAUUCAUGCAGAAUAAUACAAUAAAGAACACAAGAAUUUAACGAGGUUCAGCAAAUUUUGCCUACGUCCUCGGGCACUACCAAAUAUAUUUCACUCCAAAAUACAAGUGAGAAUUUACAAAGAGAGAGAGAGAAAACAAUGCCUUAAGUAGAGAAUGGCAAGUUUGAGAUGCAGAAUGAGAGAUGGUUAUGCCUAUUUAUAGUUGAGGUUCAGGGAUCAACUUGCAAAGUCACUUUACAAUUAGGGACCAUAUAUUGCAAAUAUCUCAGAUUUUAUUAUGCCAAUAUCUCGAUACCCAUAUCUUUGACUUUCCAAUAUUUGAGACCCAUAUCUUUGACUUUCCAAUAUUUGAUACCCAUAUCUUUGACUUUCCAUUAUUUGAUACCCAUAUCUUUGAUUUUCCAUAAAUAUGGAUAAUUCCCAAUAAAAUCUGAUUGAUUCUUUUCAUUCACAAAAAACUACUUUUCUGAUAGAGCCUUCUUAACUGCUCAUACCAGUUUUACAACCUCUUUAACCCUGCAACUAACAGUAACUAACAACAUUACUGCUAUCACCACUUAACUUUCCAAAAUUAUUAAGGAUAACAAUUUCCAGGGAGACAAGAUAAGACAUGAAAUGUUCAUGCAUACACAUUUAUCUUAAAAUUGUAUCCACUAUGGAUCCAUAAGGUUAAAACUGGCAGCUGCAAAAAAUGUUACAGGAUUCAAGCAUCGCUACCCUCUCAUUUUUCAGACUCUGAAGUGCACUUCCAGUAAGAUCCUAUUAACAUGAAUAUACUAAAAUAAACUUUUGAACUAUCACAAUCGUGGCAGUUGAUUUCCCAUUGCAAGGACGCUAGCAAAAUAAACUACAUACUUCGUAUUUAGACCUGCUCAUGGGUCGGGUUACUCGGCCCGGCCCGAAGGCCCUCCCGAAAUGUGAGAGGGUUUGGGCAAAAAUAAAGGCCCGAAAAAUGGGCUUGGACAAAAAAAUAAAGCCCAUUUAAAAAACGGGUCAGGCUUCGGGUAAGGUAUUUUUUGCCUGAGCCCGGCCCGGCUUGGCCCGAAUUCACUAAAUGACAAAAAAAAUCUGCUAUUUCUUGUUUUUUAAUGUUAUUUUCUUAUUAAUUUUGUUAUUAUUUUAAAGGCAUUUGUUAAUUUUGUUAUUAUUUUAGAUGUAUUUGCUUGUUAAGUUGCAUCUAUCUUAGUGCUAUUUAAGUCUACAUAUUUUUUAAAAUUUAUUUUCAAUUUGUUGGAAAAUAUUUAUUUUGAUUUUUUAGUAUUUUUGAUGUAUUAUAUAUAUUUAAAAAUUAUAUAAAAUAAUAUAAAAAAUAAUAUGGGCGGGUCGGGUCGGGCUCGGGUUUUAGCAUUUUUAUUUGGGCGGGGUUGGGAAAAAAUUGUAGGCCUAUUUUUUAGGCCCGGCUCGGCCCGAGCCUAAUGAAUGGGCCUAAAUUUUUAGUUGAGCCCAACCUAAACCCGGCCCGACCCGACCCAUGAGCACCUCUAUUCGUAUUUAAAGUUCCACAUAUUGUGUUCAAAACAUUGUAAGUUAAGGGGAAAAAAAUCUACAAGACAGACAUAUACCAUAUAGGAUGUUAUAUGCUUAAAAAAGAUUUCCCUGGAUAACAAUACUAAGCUUUCCAUGGUUUUUGCUUAUAAGAGAAGCAUUUAUUGAACCAUGUCAACACGGUAGAUAUCAACUUUAUAACUUAGCACCUAUGGCUAUAAUCAUAUGCCUUUAAUUGUUUAUAAAGAUUCUUGAGUAAAAAUUUUUAGCAGGAAGUAUACUAACAGAAAGGCCUAUUUGAUGCCCACAGGUCUUUCAGUUCUUCACAUUUAUUGACCCAUAAUACUAAAACUUUAUGGAUAGGUCUUAGGAUUAUAAUUCCUUUCACUGACAACAAUAGGACAGAGGAAAAGAAGUCUUUAUGGAUUCUCUGCCUCAGAAACAAGAUUCAGUGUUGUCAGGGCAUGCGCCUAGGCACACCUGAGCUGUGCGCCUUAACACUAGACAACAGAAGUGCCUCAAACCCUUUCAGGUAAUACCCAUUUAACCAGGCACACACCUUUUUUGCAAGGCAAUAGGAAUAAAAAGCAUCCGCCUCAUAUAAGUUCUCUUUAAUUUAAUUUAAUUUUCACUUUUUUCAUUAGAUAUACCUUUACCAAUAAGAAAGGGUUAGUAUUAAACUCUAUCCUUAUCAAAAUUCGUGUAUUAAACAAUAGACAUGAACCAUAAGUAAAUCAUGUAUAUUGACCAAUAAUAGAAUUGCAUGUUUUGUAGAUAUAGAUCACACUUUAGAGUUUAUUAUAUAUCUUAUGCUAUAUAUAUAGACAUAGAAAAAUGCACAGAUAUACAUAUUGCACUUCAUUUCACUCAAGCUACUACUUUUUUUUUUACACCUUGCACCUGAGGCUACAAGAGUAGCCCCUUCCCCGGUAAGGCAGCAACCCAACUAUUUCUUUCUUGCCUGGAGGCUUUUCUUAUUCUAAAAUUUAUGAUAUUCACUAACCUAUAAAAUCCAGAGUCCUUUAUUACAGAAUAAUUUAAGGCUUUCUUAAUUUCUAUAAUUCACCACCAGAAAUCUAAUUAAUGGGAUAUCAGAAACCCAAAACCUUUCUCUAUUGCUCACAGAGACUUAAACAUGUAUUUCACUAAAUUUGGCUCAAACAUAAACCCAACAUAAAAAUCUAAAAUUAUAUUGCAGCGAAAGAAGCUAUAAUUGACAUACUUGCAUAUUAUCUUUAUAGUGUUCAAGUAUCAAAAUUGAUAUGAAGUACAGGAAACUUCAAAGAAGAUAGAGGCAACCAUUUCCUAACAUUGAUGAAAAAACCACACCAAAACCUUGAAUCGACAGAAUUUACCCAAACCCAGAAAAAGAGCUUUAAAAAGAACAAGAAGAAAAUGUGGACAAGUAAAGAACAAGAAAAAAAAAGCUUUAAAAAACGAUGCCAUUCCUUAAGUCAAGACCUUGCGAAGAGGAAUGAGAUUUGCCUCAGAAAGAGAGAAAGAGAGGAAUGAAAUUUGCAGAAAGAGAGAAAGAGAGAAAGAAGAUGAAGAACGGAAAGAAGGGAGAAGGACUUUUACCAGGAUGAAGAAGAAGAUGGAAAAUGUCUUACAGAAAAAAAAUCCUUAAGGCAUUUUCCCUAAAAUGAAUGAGAUUUUACCCGUGUCUUGGAAAAUAAUUUCCAAAACAGAGCCUAAAUGAAACUUUAGUUACCAAAUCAUACCAGUUAAAAAAUUAGAGUAAAUUAUAUUAUUAAUUACUUAAUUAUAGUACAAUUAUUUUCUAGUUACUCAAUUAUGAAAAGUUACAAAAUAAUCAUCUAAUUAUUCAUUUUUUUAUUUUUUGUCACCGGCUGGCUAACGUGUAAAAAGAAAAACCCAAAAAUCAAAUAUAGUUGAGUAGCCAAAGAAAAAAAUUACUAAUAAUUAGGUGACUAGUACUAUAGUUUACCCUAAAAUUUAAAGGUAAAACUUUUCAAAUGAAUGCAUUUUAUAAUAAUUAAUAAAAUAAGAGUUAUAUUAAGUACUGAAAAGUUACUCAACUAUCUUAGAUUUUUGUUAUUUUUAUUUUAUUUUUUACUCUAGUUAUUAAAAAAGAUAAAAUUAAAUAAUUGGAUAACCAUAUUGUAACCUUUCAUACUUGGAUGACCAAAAAAGAAACCUAACAAUAAUUGAGUGAUUGAAUUUUUUUUUACUAAUAAUUAUGUGACUAAUAAUAUAAUUUACCUAUAAAUUUAAAGGUAAAACUUUCCUUAUGAAUGCAUUUUAUAAUAAUAAAUAAAAGAAGAGUUAUAUAUAAAAUUGAAAAGUUGUAACAAAUUGGGGUGAUAAUAUAUCCGUGAAGCACUCCCCACCAUGCUAAUACCACCAAGCUAAUAAUAAACUAAAAAUAACCAUUAAUUUGCUAAGAAAAUGGUUACUUUGGUAGUAUAAAUAGGGCAUUUCAAUGAUGUAUUAUUCAAGCCAAGGGGCAAUAAGUAAUAAGCAAUAAGCAGCCCCACAACUUCAAAAGGUUUUUUUUUUUCUUUUCCUAUCUCUGUUUAAAAUCUAUUUCAAGGGAAAGGAGGAGGAAAAUUUUAUAAUUUUUUGAGGGUUUUUUAAGAAUAAAUAGAAAACUAUGGCGAACAAUGCUGCUGUUAUUGGUAUCUGUUCAGUGUUCUUGGUGGCAGCAGUGGUGGCAACAGUGGUGGGUGUCACGCAUUUAAAAAACAACGGUGAUUCGAAAAGCGGUGAAAUAUCGAGUUCGACAAAAGCAGUGCAGACGGUUUGUCAACCCACACAGUUCAAAGAGGUAUGCGAGAAGAGCCUGGAGUCAUCUAAUUCCACCGACCCUAAAGAGCUGAUAAGGACGAGUUUCCAAGCAGCGAUAGAGGAAAUAAGGAAAGUGUUGGCGAAUUCAGCGACGAUACAAGACUUGAAUAAAGAUGACAACAACAAAGCAGCCCUUAAGGUUUGUAAAGAAGUGUUGGAUUUAUCAAUAGCUGACCUGCAACUUUCAUUUGAUAAGCUGGGGGGAUACGAGAUGAGUAAGAUCGGUGACUACAUACUGAACCUGAGGGUGUGGUUAAGCGGUGCCUUAACUACCUUACAAACAUGUGUAGACUCAUAUGCGGAAGUAAAUAAUGAACAAGCGGAGAAGAUGAAUUCAAUUUUGAAGACUUCAAUGGAGCUUACCCAAAAUUCUUUAACCAUGGUGACUAAGUUAUCCACCAUCUUGAAUGGCCUUAAAAUUCCAGGCCUCAAUAUCGACACGACUGGGUUCGAACGUAAGCUCCUGUCUAACGAUGGACCUGAGUGGAUAGGCCACGCUGAAAGGAGACUACUUCAAGCAAAACCAACAGAUUUGAAGCCUAACGUUGUGGUUGCUAAGGAUGGUAGUGGAAAAUAUGAUACCAUCACCAAGGCCUUGGCUGAAGUCCCUCUGAAAAGCCCGAAUCGAUUUAUUAUUCACAUUAAGGCUGGUACUUACAAGGAACAAGUCCUUUUACCCAAGGAGAUGACUAAUGUUAUGUUCAUCGGUGAUGGCCCAACUAAGACCAUCAUCACCAAUGACCUUAACUGCAUUAGGGAUCAUCCGCUUAAAACAUUCGGCACUGCAACAGUUGGUAAGUAGCAGUAUCUACAUAUAAGUUUUGGUGGUGAGGUGAGGUGACUAACUAGUAUGUAUGUUUGUGAAAUAUUGUAGGUGUGGAUGGGGCUGGUUUCAUGGCCAGGGACAUUGGAUUCGAGAACACAGCAGGACCCCCUGGUCAUCAAGCAGUAGCUUUUAGGGCAACAUGUGAUAUGGUUAUCAUGUUCAAUUGUCAUUUCAAUGGGUACCAAGACACCCUUUAUGCUCACAAAGAGAAACAAUUUUAUAGGGAUUGUCUCAUCAGCGGGACAGUAGAUUUCAUCUUUGGGGAUGCGGCAAGCGUGUUCCAAAAUUGUCAGAUCAUCGCAAGGAAGCCAGGUGAAAACCAGAACAACAUGAUUACAGCCCACGGAAGGAAAUUCCCAUACACUCACUCAGCCAUUGUGCUUCAAAAUUGUACCAUCUCGGGUGCCCCUGACUACCUCCCGGUGAAGGACAAGAGUAAGACGUACCUAGGUCGUCCUUGGAAAGCUUUGGCCAGGACCAUCAUAAUGCAAAGCAAUAUUGAUGACAUCAUUACACCAGAGGGUUACUGCCCCAUGCAAGGCACCGUAGGACUAGACACCGGUUACUUUGUAGAGUUCCAAAACAGGGGACCCGGUGCCAAAACCGAAGGCAGGGUCAAAUGGCCAUCUAUCAAGACAAUAGAUAUAAAUGAAGCCAAGAAAUGGACUCCUGGCGUCUUUCUUGAAACUGCAACUGACAAUUGGAUUUCGCAAACCGGCACUCCUUGUUAUCCUGACAUGGUCCCUGGAGUGUAAACUUCCAAAACCAUCGCCAUUAGUAUUCUUUUAAUAUCAUUAUUAGUAAUCAUGCUGUCGAUUAUUGAUUAAGUUAAACAAUUUUUUCCUAUGUUUUAUUUAUAUUAAUAAUAUAUUCAUUAUUAUGGAAGGAGCAAACUAAAAUUAUUUUCUUAUUCCCGAUUAUAAAAAAAAAAAGAAACUACUAGAGAUAGAUAUAAAGUUUAAUAUGCUAUUAAACAAAAAAAAAACAAUAUUAUUAAUUUUGCUAUGUAUUUCAUUAAUUAAAAUAGUACAUCUUAAUAUAUUUUAUUAAUUAAUAUAAUAAUUUUUAAAAAAAAUAUUUUUUUAGUAUAUAUGAUUUUAAUAAUUUGUAAUUAUCAUUUAACAUAAAUGUUAUUUUAAUGUAUAAUAAAAUAUUUAAUAUAGAUAUAAUUUCAAUACUUUUAUUAUUUUAAUUUAUAAAUGUAAUUUAUAAUAUGCUAUUUAAUGUAAUAUUUAAUAUAAAUAUUAUAUUUCAAAAUUAUAUUUGAGCUAACGAGUCUAAAAAACUUCCGCUACUCCUGGUUCGAUUCAUGCCUUUCUAUCGUUGCAUAUACUAACAACGACAACUUGGAGUCCUACAUCUGCUGAUUUUUAACACUUCUAGUGGAAUGCAAUAUAUGACAUCGGUGUCGGCGUACUACAUUCAUCCAAAUUGAAAAACAAAAUCGUAAAUAUCAUUAUAUAUGAAUUUUUUUACGAAUCAUUACGUAAUUAAUAUAGGUUUGAAAGAACAAGUAACAAACAUCGGCUUCUGAGCAUUGAUCUAACAACAACCUAAUAUCUUUUAACUCCUCGGGUAGUUCCAUGUAGCUCAACCCAUGGUUCCACCUGUACAAGCGAAAUGUUAGUCGAAACAUAUAAUAAAAAAAUUCUACAUUGAGUACGUAUUUGUUAAUAAAUGAUAUUUACCUUAUCACCAAUGGGAACAUAUAUGGGUCGGUCACAUUAAGACGUAGAAAUAGUAGUCACCACCAGGACCACGACUACAGUAGGAAUAGACAACCACAGAUCAACGCUGCACUCAGUAUCGUGGCCCGACACAUCUCCCAGUAUAACGUGGACAAUAUGACAAAUUCCCAAUUUAAUUUCCCGCACUCAUUGAAGUCUACUAAAUGUAAGUCCACUAAAUGUAGUAGCAACCUUACGUAUAACAAAUUUCAAAAUUUGACGGGUAUUAAAAUGACCUAAUUAACCUCAUGAUGUAUGCUUGGGCGUAUUGUUUUAUGACCUCCUCCGUUCGGUCUACAAGGUCUUCAAGGAGCUCGUCAAAAUUAGCAUUUAACUAGUUCAUUGAUAUCUAACCACUUUCAAACUUGUUUGGAACGUCCCACAAUAGUGAUUAGCAGAGGCCCACUUUGCUUAAAACGACCCCUGAUCCCCUGGUGAUUGACCCAUCUACUGGCAAAUCGAGUUGUAGCGUUACAUCAUCGAGUGUGAUUGUACACUUGCCGCAUAGAAGAUGGAAAUUGUGUAUUUCAGGCAUCUAUCUUUCCACCAAUGUGUUGAUUAGUGCCAAAUCGAGUUUGUAGCCCCCGAACAUUUGAGACGCAUGUAAGAAUCCAGCCGCUUUCAAGUGACCACGAAUUUCAAGGAUCGCAGUCUUUCCCAUAUUAUGAAUGAAGGCCUACAGAAUAUGAUCAUCACCUAUUUACACAAUAAAAACAUUUUGAAAUUAAAAAAUAAUUAAAUUUAACAUUAUUGAAAUUAACGAAAUUUAAAUUUUCGACUUACCAUUGCUACUUGUGUAACACCUUGAUUUUGGGCCUAAUCGGAACAGUGGUUUUGGGAGCACAAAUCCGACGAUGAAAAUUUUAUUUUUUAUUAUAUUUUAUGGUCUAAAAUUACACGGAAUAAUUUCGUGAAAAUUUCGUUCGAAAAUUUUGACGUUCGGGCACUUAAUUUAGUUAAAAGGACUAAAUCAUAAAAAGUGCAAAAGUUGAGUUCUACAUACUAGAGGUGUCCAAUUGUUAUGAAAUUUUAAAUUGAAGGUCCUUAAUUAGACCAUUGGUUAAUUUCUGGACAAAAAUAGACAUGAAAUGGGUGUAAUAAAACAUUUUUAAGUUAGGGAUAUUUUGGUAAAUUAAUAAUUAAAAGAAUUAAAAAGGGAAAUAAGCCAAAUUAGCUAUUAUCUUCUUCAUUCAACCCUUUCUACCAGAAACAGCCAUGGUUAAGGUUUUUUCAAGCUCCCAAGCUCGAUUGUAAGUGCUCCCUAGCCCCGUUUUUAAAGUUCUUUACAUUUUUGAAAUCCCAAUAACUAGGUUAAGCUUAUUCUAGCAAUAAUUUAACCUAGGGUUUAUAUUUGGAAAAAUACUCAUAGGUGAAAUGUGUUUAUUUUGAUGUUUUAUGGUAGAAUAUGAAGUUGAAAUUGUGUUAAACAAUUUUUACUAAGCGAUUUUACGUGAAAACACAUAAUCGGUAAAAAUACCUAAUGUUCAUAAGUACAUGUUAGAGUGCGAAUUUGAUGUUGCUAUAGAAGGGAAAAAUGACUAGCAUGUCAUAAAACAUAAGGAAAUAGGAUGAAGUUUAAUUUACGAGCCUAGGGGCAAAAAUGUAAUUUUGACAAAGUUUACGGGCAAAAUUGUAAUUUUUCCAAAAUACUAUUUUGGGUUAAUUUGAAUGAUGUGAGUCCUAAUUAGGCUAUAUUUGAAAUGAUAGAUCAAGGAAAAAUCAAAAUUCGAGAUAAAAUCGAAAAAUAUCAGGUUGUGGACAAAAUGGUAAAAAUGGCCAUUUUCGCAUACGAGGUAAGUUCAUAUAUUUUUUAAUAAUGUAAUGUGUAAUUGAAUGUUAUUGCCUUGAUAUUAAAUGAGAUGUAAGUUCAUGUGUAAAUGUGGUAACAUAAUUGUCAUUUUAAGUAAUUUAAUGAUAUUUAUUUGAUAUGAUGAUUAUUAUCAUGAAAUAUUAUGCUUUGUGGUUAUUAUUGAGUAAUAUGCAAAUUAUAUGAGCUAAUUGAUAAAUAUUAAAUGCUACCAAGUAUCGGUUCCAACAUUCCGUAGAAGACGACAAAGAUGUGUGAUUGAGGAAAAUCCCGUUUGAACCUUGGGAAUAGAUUGGGAUACAAGUGACAUGUCACUAAGAUAUUUGAGUUCCGAACUUGUUGAGUUAAGUCUGAGUUCACUUAUGGAUGCGAACGCCCGAGCUCGUUGAGUUGAGUCCGAGUUCGCUUAUGGGUGGGUUACAUGGUAGCUUGCCUACACAUAUAUUCCGCAGGCUAUUGAGUUUGUCUAGCUGUGGGUAUGGCACUUAUGUGCAUGCAUUCCGUGUAUCCGAUUAUAUUCCGAGUGUUCAACGGGUAAUUUGGCGAAGUAUUAGUUGAUGAUCCUAAUGAGAUAAGCCAUUGGUGAGUAUGUCUUUGAGUUAUGUUACAAGUUGUAUAGGUAUGUACACUAAACUUAUGUGUGAUGCCUUGACAUGUGAUGAUCUAUGAUGUAUAUAGUAUUUGGUGAAUAUUAUGAAAAUGACAUGAUUUGGAAUAAGUAUUUGAUACUUGAUAACAUUGAGAUUAUGGAUUUAUGCUUAUGAAGCAUAAUUAUGUGUUCUUACCAUUAUGAAUGAAAUGUUAUUGUAUGGAUUUGGUGAAUAAUAGUAAUGAAUGAGUAAAUUUAGCCUUGGCAGUUUUGGGUUAUUGCAGUGGUGCAAAUUUGGAAAUUCACCAUAAAUUGUGGAAAUUGAAUUAGGGGCUGAAUAAAAUAUGAGGUUAAAUCCCAAUGAGUCUAGUUUCACAUAGAAGAAACGAUAUAUGCAAUCGAAAUUUAUAUUAUGAGAUAUUUAAAUUGUUGUAAGACAAAGUCUGAAUGACUUCGUGAUCCCCUGAUUUGAUUUGAGAAAAUCAUUAAAAAUUGUAUAAAAAUAAUUAUGGGUUUUAAUUUAUAUUAUUAAAAUCCUUAAUGAGUCUAUUCUCUAGAAAGAUAGAUGAGAGCAUUAUCCGAAUUCUGUACUAUGAGAAAAAUAAUUUUUAGUGAAGAGAGGUCAGAACUGUUGGACAACAAAAUAUGGGAAACUUUAAUGAAUAAACUGUACUAAUUUACUAAAUAAAAAAUUCUUAAAAUUUUAUGGGAGAAAGGUAUGUUAGUCUCGUUUCAAGGAAAAUUAACGAAACUUAAUUUUGAGUCUCGUAGCUCUAGAUAUAAAUGAAUUAGUAACUGUAACUCGGUAAAACAGCUUAACCUGAACAAAAGUAAAUUGUACAAUUAUGAUGUUUUACCUAAAAAAAACAUGUGGGUAAUUGCUUAUUAACUUCAUAUGGACUUACUAAGUAUAAAGCUUACCCUUCUCUCUACUUCUUCAGUUUUGGCAGAUCGGCUCGGGGUUGGAGAUCGUUGGAGGCAAAAUCACACUAUCAAGCUAUCAUUUUUGGGAGAAUUAAUUCAAAUAUUAGAAAUAUCAAGUGAGUGGCAUGUAUAGGAAGUUGGUUUAUGAUGUGUAUUAUUAUUAUGACUUUGACCAUACGUAUUGGUCUGCAUUGAGUCAUCGUAUAUGAUCAUGAAAUGUAGUCCUUAUCCAUUAUGGUUUGUAAGUUUAAUUAAUCAUGCCAUGUCCUAUGUUUUGAUGUGAUGAUAUAGUUAGCUUUGUUUGUUAUGCAUGAUUGGUAAUACAUCAGGUAAGUUAAAUGCAGGCCAGUGGAUCAUGAAUUAAAUGGAAAUGAGUAAUGUUGCCUUGAAUAUGAAUGUUUAAUGGACAAAUUGAUAACUACAUUAUGAUGGUAUAAAAUGAGAAUAAGAUUUAGCAUGUCUAGUUCUAGUUAAUGUAAGAAUAUAUAUUAUAUACAGGAUGGUAAGCAAAUAUGUUUAAAGUGAAUGAUUUGUUAUUGCAUGAUUAUGGAUGUGUAAGUGCUCAUUUAUGCCACGUUAUAUUUCUUUAAAUAUGAGUCUAUGCAUGUGUUCAAAAAGCUUUGAAUUAAAUGAAAUUUUAUGGCCCGGUUUUCGUCUAUGUGUAUGGUUAAGUCUGGUAAUGCCUCGUACCCUGUUCCGGCCUUGGAUACGGGUAAAGGGUGUUACAACUUGGGUGGUAGAAAUAUACUUGUCGUCGAAGCGAAUUAGAGAGGCGACUAUUCGUGAAAAAUCGAUUUGAAUGAUUAAAAAUAAGAUAAUUAAAAAAAAUUAUUUUUAAAUGAAAAUAUCAAAAAAAAUUAAAACGAGAGAGUUGAGAGAAGGAUGUGAAUGAAUAAAAAUAAAAUUUGGGGGUAUUUAUAGGGUAAAAAAAUAACCGUUGGUAUAUUUAAUUUUUUUUUACUGUUGGCGCGACAACAUACAAAAAGCUAUUGUUGGAAAGUGCGUCCAACUAAACGAGCUUUCGAAAAAGCACGUCUAUCUAGGCGCACUUUCCUAACACCUGUACAAAAAGCUUACCCGGCUGAACGUGCUUUCUAUUCAAUUCAACUUAUUUCUUUAAUUAAUUUUAAAAUCGGCCUAAAAACCUAAUUAAUUAAAAAAGUGACUUUUGGACUUAUUUUGCCCUAAUUAAUAGCCCUAAGAAUUAGUUAUUGAAAAAAAUUAUGCUUUUAAUUAGAGGGAAAAGUAUGAAAUUUAAAAUAAAGUGCUUUGGACUUUUUUUAAUACUAAAGUUAACCCAAUAAAUAAUAUUUAAAUUGUUUAAUUUGUCAAUAACAUUAAUGCUGUAUUUGGAUUGAACUAAUAUGUUGUUUAAAAGAUAAAAUAAAUACAAAACAAAUUAUGAUGUUACUAAAAUACAUAUAUAAUGAAAAUUUAGUAAAUAAUAAGUUUUUUAGACUUGCUUGCCCAAAUAGAAUAAAGAGAUAAAAAAACAUCCCCACAAACUGGAGGCAAGUAUCUGCAGCAAGUAAGAUGCAUUGAAAAAAAUAGUGUCUGCCUUAUUCUCUUGAAUUUUAUGGCAGUUAGGAGGGUUCUGAGUGUUUUGAUUUGAUCGUAGUUUUUUUAUUUUCUUAGUUUUUCUUAUUGGUUUUGCUUGGUGGUUUUUUCGACGCUUCUGUUUUGAUUACGAUUUUUCUGAUGUUGAUUCUGGCGGAUAAGACGUUUCUUGCUAGGCUUUUAUCUUUCAUUCUUUUCGGUGAUUUUUUGUCUGUUUUCUCUUUUCUUUAUUUUUUCGUGGGUUUCUGUGUGUAUCUGUUUAUUCUGGUGGCAUUUAUUGUCUUAUGUGUCUUUCUGGGAUUUUGAGUUGGAGUUUGUUUGAGGGUCCCACGGCGCUCAAAAAAAGUUUCUUUCUUUUGACUUUGCUACCUUCCAAUUGCAUCGUCUAUGCAUGUUUUUAGGGUUUCUGAAGGGUCAAAGUACUGUUUGGAGGGUUUCAUGUAUGCAGGUUUUUUGCAUGCUUUUGACUUGGUUUAUUAAAAGUGAUUGGUUGUUUUCGUUUUUGAGAAUCCGGUGUAAUUUUCUUUGUAUUUUUUUACGGGUUUUUCUUUUUUCUUUUCUGUGGUGUUGUUUUUUCUUAAGGCUGCAUUAGAGUGUAUUGCACUUCUUGGUCCUUUGGCUGGCUUUUCUGUUUGACAAGUCCUCUCGGUUCUGUUUUGGUUUUAGGUGUUGUUUUUGUUGUUUUUGUUUUUUUGGUUUUUCGCUUGUUUUGUCUUCUUUUCUUUUCUUUUUUUUUUUUUGCAGAAAAAUCCUUUCUUGGGUGGGUAUCUCGUCUGGUUCCUGCGUUGUGCGCAGUGUCCCCGUGUUUGUGCACGUUUGGCUAACAAAGGGAGGAAAGACCAGAGAUGGAUUCAACAAUAACGACAGAUAAGAUAAAUGAACUUCUGAGAAGCAAUGUAUAGGGUGUUCAGGUCACUUUGGUAUACAAAGGAGGAAGUGGAUUUUGUGGCCUUAAAAGAAGGGGUUGUUAUUGUUAAGUUCGAUUGCCUGGAGGAUCGUAACCGAAUCUUCAACCUUAUGCCUUGGUUAUUUGAUAAAUGCCUAUUCUCGAUGGUGCCAUUUGAGAGAGGAAAGGACGUCGAAUCAUAUGAUUUUGGGUGGUCGCCCUUUUGGUUAUGAGUUUAUAACAUCCCUUUAGAGCUUAUGGAUCGUCAGGUAGCUUUGGAUGUGGAGAAGGCUCUCGGAGAACUAAUGGCAAUUGAUUAGAAGGAUCAAAACGGAGGAUGGACAGAGUUUAUGAGGCUGAAAGUUAAAAUUAACAUAUCCAAACCUUUAAGGAGAAUUGUGAAAUUGGUCAGCAAAGACAGGGAGGAAAUAAAAUGAGUUUUAAAGUAUGAGAGGCUCAAGAAUUUUUGCUAUCUAUGUGGGCUGAUAGGACAUACCCUCUAAAAGUGUCAUAAUAAUGGGGAAGGGGAUAGGAGUGAUAGGUUAAACAUUCAGUAUAGGGCUUGGAUGAGGGCACCUUUGGUGACCAUGAAUCAAGACAGGGGCAUGAGAAGGAAUGGGGUUGAAAUAGUGGCGACUACGAAUCUUUCGAAUGAUGAUGGGAAAGAAAGCCAAACAAAUACAAAUGACGAUAGUGGGCAACAUAUUCAACAAGAAAAAGAGAAAGAUGUAGAAGAAGAUUCGAUAUCAACUUCACCCAUGGAGGAAAGGAGUCACAAGUUGACUAGGGGCAAUAUGGGACGUUUUAGGCACAAAGAAAGAGAAUGAGGAAGGGGAACGGAAAACACCCUGAUAAUAGCCCUUCAAAAUUUGUUAAAUGAAGACUGAUGGAAAGUGUCUAACCUUUAAAGGUAGUGGCUGGCGAUCAGCCCUGCUAGGAACCAUGAAGUUCAUUUGCUAGAACUAUCAUGGAGUUGGAAACCCUACGACAGUUCGUGAGUUGGAGCAACAGCUUGUUGCUAAUGUUUUUGAUGUUGUCUUUUUGUGUGAAACCAAAAUUCACUCUAAUAGUUUCUCUUGUAUUCGUUCGAUGUGUAGGAUGGAAGGAUGCAUGGCUAUCAACUCGGAAGGUAAGAGUGGGGGUCUUGCUUUAAUGUGGAAAGAAGGUGUGAAAGUUGAAGUGCAAAGUUAUUCUAGGUACCAUAUUGAUUCCCUGGUCUCAUUGGACAAGAAUGUUGUGGUUCGUUUUACGGGAUUCUAUGGUCAAACUGACCUAAACUUAAGAAAUCAAUCGUGGGAUAUGUUAAGAAGGGUUAAAAGAUCGGUUAAGGAAGGUUGGAUUGUUGGGGGGGACUUUAAUGUUAUCCUUAACAAUACUGAGAAGGAAGGGGGUCGCAAAAAGCCGAGAAAACCUAUGGAUGAGUUCGGGGACAUCCUGGAUGAACUGAAUUUGGUUGACGUUAAAACGGGCAAUGGAUGGUUGACGUGGUCUAAUAAUAGAGAGGGAGCAAAUCUCAUUAAGGAAAGGCUGGACAGGUUUUUGGUUUCAGAGGAUUUGAUUGAAAAGCUGCCUUUUAUUACUUUUAAAAUGGUGCUUCAAUCGAAGUCAGAUCACGAAGUUAUUUUAUUGGAUACGCUGGGUAGUCAGCUGGGGAUAAAGGGAGAGAUUAUAAGUCUAGCUUUAGGUAUGAGGUUUCCUGGGCUAAGGUGCAGGAAGCUAAGGAUAUUAUUACCCGCAUUUGGGCUGACAAGGAUAGUAAUAUUUUGAAUAUAAUAAAUAAUCUUAGAGAGGAGUUGGGUCCGUGGCAGUAUCAUCGUUAUAAGAGAAUGAAGUACAAGAUUCACGGGUUGGAAAGGAAAAUUGGUAAGAGUAUGGAUGGGCCUAUUAAUGAGAGGUCGUCAAACUUUCUGAAGGCUACUCGCGAUCAGUUGGGUCAUUUAUACGAGACGGAAGAAAGGUACUGGGCGCAAAAGGGCUAGCAUUCAGUGGCUCAGAGAAGGCGAUCGUAAUACUCGGUACUUCCAUGUGUGUGCUAUGGGCCGUAAGAAGAAAAACAACAUCGAUAAGCUUAAAGACAUGCAAGGGACGUGGCAUGAAGACAAAAAUGAGAUUUGCAGUAUUAUUUGGUGCUACUUCCACGAUCUCUUCAAGACAUCCAUUAUGCCGGAGGAGGACGUUGACCUGAGUUUUGUCCCGAUAUACAUUACGGAUGAUAUGAAUAGUUUCUUAAACAGUAAGUUUAUGGAUGAUGAAAUUAUGAUAGCUUUCAAGCAAAUGGAUCUCUGAUAAACCGUAAAUUAUACAUAUUUUUACCCCAUGUUUAAUGCAUUUUAUGGAUGAUUUCCCAUUAGAAUUGGUGAAUUCGAUGCUCCUAAUGCUUUAAUUUCAUGUUUUAUACUUAGAAGAGCAUAGGAGAGCGAAAGGAACGAGAAACGGGCCAAAAACAGAUAAUAGGGAGUAAGUUCCAAAGAAGCCGAUUGAUCCAUCUCAAAAGCCGGAUUCAUCAUCAAGACUGAAGAUCUCUCCUCAAUUUUCUUCAGGAGUUUUGGGUUUUCUUUAUGUUUUGUAUUCUUUAUUCUUCUGAGAUGUUUUCUUAUUUAGUUAUGAACUAAAACCCCUAAAUACCUAGGGGAAUGAAACCUAAGAUGAAUCUUGUUAUUAUUUUCUAAAUCGUAUGAUAAAUAUUUAACUGGUUCUUAAUUAUGUGUUCUUAGUUCUUGUUUUGAUAUCCCAAGAUACUAAUUCAAGAUAAGCUCUUAUUCAGAGGAGGAAUAGACCUUGUCUAAGAGUACAUUUGUCAUAAUUAAGCGGAGUUGAUUGCGCGCCUAGACAUAGGGUGACAAGAUUUUGCCGGUGUAAUGGCCUAAAUUUAAGGUUAUCGGAAUAGUAGUUUCGUAACCACAAAUCUGAUUUAAAGAGAAAUUUAUUCCAAUAUUUUUGCAUAAAAAUUUAUAUGAUAGGAAAAUCGUAUGAAAAUAUUGAUAGAAAAAAAAUUUACCGAUUCAGUGGUUAGUUAGAAAAAGAAAUUAUUGAAGAAAUUGGGUAAAAACAAGGUAUUGGGACCUCUAUCUCGUAAAACCGAGUCACAAAUAAUUUUAUAAAUAUUUAUGAAAUGUUAGUAAUGUGGUAUUAAAAUUUAGUUAGGAAAUUUUAAUGUUUGGGUAGUCAAUUAAAUGAAAAGGACUAAAUUGUAAUAGGUGUAAAAGUUGCUAGAAUGAUUAAAUAGCUUAAAAGUCUAAUGAGAAAGGAUUUAAAAGGCAAUUAGACCCAAAAUUUAUUUGGGCUGGACGGCAAGGGCAUGAAAUCAGCAGGAAAAUUGAUAAAUUAAGGGAAAAAUUGGAAUAUUGCAAAAUUAACUAAAUAAAACUAGGACUAAAUAGGAAAUAUCUCGAUUUCUCUUCAUUUCUCUUCAAUUACAGCAGCUAAAAACGCCAUAGGAGGGUUCUCUAAGCUGGUGUUCCAUAAUUUUUGCACCAAUUGAGUUAAUCCUUCCCUUUUCUUGUAAUUUUUGUGUUUCUAAGACUUUUACAACUAGGUCCUACUAUUAAAUUCAUUAGUUUUUGAUUUCAUGGAUGAAAUUGAAAGUCACCAUGGUUGAGUGCUGUAAUUUUAUGAUGAAAUAUAAUGAAAUUAAAGCUUUAAUUUGUUUAUGAGAUGAUUUUAUUAGGUAAUUUUAAUAGAAAUUAAUUUUUAGGACUUAAUUGUGAAAAUGCUUGGAAUUAAAGUCUAUUGCUGAAAUUCUGAUUCCUAAAGAUUGUAAACUAGUUUAAGGUGAUAGAAUAAAAUGUUAAUUGAGAAAAAUCAGCUCAAUUGAGAGGCUAAUGGAGUAGGGACGAAACUAUCAUUUAUUAAAAGCAUAGGGGAAAAAUGGUAAUAAACAGCUUGCACAAAAACAGUUUGGACAGCAGCAGUAGACUAAGUUUGAAAAAUCACCAUAAAUUGUAGAAAUCGAAUUAGAAGAUGAAAAAAAUAUGGAAUUAAAGCUUAUUGAGUCUAGUUUCUCAUAGAAGAAAUAGUGUAAGUAAUAGAUUUGUAAAUUUUGAGAUAUAAUUAAUUUUGUGAGACAAGGUCAGAAUGAAUUCGGGUUCCCCUGUUCUUACUUUGAAAAAUCAUAAAAAAUUGAAUAAAAAUAAUUUGGGGCUUAAAUUUAUAUGUAUAAAAUCCUGAAUGAGUCUAUUUUUAAAAGAAACAAACAAGAACAUUAUUUGAAUCCUGUAUGAAGAGAGAAUUAAUUUUUAGUGAAUAAGGUUCAGAACUAUCAGACAGUAGAACAAGGGUGACUUUAAAGAAUAAACUGUAUUUAUUUGAUAAAUCAAAAAUUCUUAAAAUUUUUUGAUAAGAAGAUAUAUGAGUCUAGUUUCAGGUAAAAUUAACGGAUCUUAAUUUAGAGUUUCGUAGCUCGAGUUAUAAAUAAUUUAGUGACUAUGACUCAAAUAGAUAACUUUGAAUAAACUAUAAAUAAUAAUAGUUGAAUUAUAGAGAAUGUUGCAUAUGAACAUGAAAUGUAUUAAAUUUAUAAUUAAAUUUAUUUAUUUAGAUCCAGAAGAUUCAAAUAUGAAGCUAGAUCGAGGAAAGGAAAAAAUUUGGGAUUAGUAGAUUUUUUUUGUUUACAAACAAGUAUCAAGGUAAGUUCAUGUAACUUGAAUUAUAUUCUUAAAUGCUUGAGAUUGUAUGUUAUUGAUGUGAAUAUGAUUUGAAUGUUCAUUGUAUGAAAAUUAAUGAAACAUUGAUAUAUUUGAUAAAAUGGGAAGAAAUCCCGGUUGAAUGAAAGGAAAAUUCGAUGGAUCUCUGAAAAGGAAUUGACGGUAAAAAGGAUCUGUAACACCCCUUACCCGAGACUGUUGCCGGAAUCGAGUACGAGGCAUUACUUAGCUUAUCUUACUAAUUCGGGGCAUAAAAAUUCGUUUUAAAAAUUAAUUUCACUGUUUACAGUAAUCUGUCCAAUCGCGCAGCAGUUACUAAAUUGAUUAUAACUCGAGCUACGGUACUCCAAAUUUAAUUUCGUAAAUUUUUCCUGAAACUAGACUCAUAUAUAUUUCUACCAUAAAAUUUUCAGAAUUCUUGGUUUGACCAAUUAGUACAAUUUAUUAGUUAAAUUCUCCCCUGUUUCUUCACUCGACUGUCCUGACCCCUUGGUACUAAAAAUAAAUUUUCUCAUUAUAGGAUUUUCAUAUGAUAUUACCACUUAUUUCUACAGAAAAUAGACUCAAUAAGGAUUCUACACAUAUAAACUACAACUCAUAAAUAUUUUUAUACCAUUUUUAGUGAUUUUAUAAACUCGGAACAGGGGACUCCAGAAAUAGAUCUGACCAUUUCUCACUAAAAUUCACAUAUCUUAAAAUAUAAAUUUCUUUUUGCUAAACCGUUAUUUUUAUAUAAAAAUAGACUCAAUAAUAUUUCAUUUCAUAUAUCAUUCACCCUCUAAUUCAUUUUAUACUAUCCUAGGUGAUUUUUCAAAGUUACGUCACUAUUGCUGCCUGAAUUCUGUUUCUUUGCAAAAUUUUACCAUUUUAUGAUUUUCAUACCUAAUUUAUCACUUAGACUUUUAUAACAAUAAUUAACUUCAUCCUUGACCAUUUAAACAACCAUUCAUCAUCAAAUACUUACACAUCAUUCUAUAGUAAAAUCAUAUUUACAAAUAUACAAAAUUACUAAAUUCCUAUACAUGCCAUAACUAAAAGAAAUGUUCACCACCACAAUUAGCUCAGAAUCGGCUUUGGAUGCUGAUUCAACAAUCCGACUUUGACCUAACCUGCGCACGGAAACAACCGUACGCUGAGUAUGGAAAUACUCAGUGGUAUUACCAUAAUUCGAAUUAAUAACAUUAAUCGACAAAUUAUAUACAUUUUAUUUAUGUCUACAAUUAUUCAUUAAUUAUCUCAUGCAUUAAAUCAACUUGAUAAUUAAUAACAAUAAGCUAUAAUUCAAAUCUUGUAUUUAAUUGUAUUCAUACCUUAUUUCACUAUCUCAAUUCCAUGGGAUUUUUCUUUACAUCUCAUUCCAAUAGUUCAUUUCAAUUCAUAUACAAUUCAUUUCAUUUAAUUUAUAUUCAAUAUAAAUUUUAUUGCAAUUUGUACUCACUAAUAUCAUAUAACAAAAUUUACUCUUUAUCAUAUCAUGAACUUUGGGUUCAUAUUUUUAAAUCUCUUAUCUCGAUUUUCAAAUUCUCACAUCAAUUCACAAUUUCACUUUUGUCCACAGCUUAUACUCUUAGCCCAAAGUAGAUUUUACAGAACACCCCGGAUAUACGGAACAAAUACAGAGAGCACAAAUGUGCUAAACAGAGAGCACUGACGUGCUAAAUAUCAGAGAGCACCAACGUGCUAAUAUUAGAGAGCACCAACGUGCUAAUAAUCAGAGAGCGCGCUAAAGUUCCUUAAUAAGUUCCUUAAUGGCAUGCCACUAAUAUCCUGGUAGUUCUAAAUUCCAUCUACUUGGGCAUUAAAUAUGAAUCUCAUUUAUUUAAAUAUUUUAUAGAAUUAUUUCAAAAAGGAUUUAUCAUUUCUUCGUCAUUACAAUUUACUACUUAUUCCGCAAUUCACAUAUAUCACACUUAUUCACAAUUUAAUUCACUUUUAUUCCAUUCAUAUAUAUAUUUUUAAUUCAUUUUCCACUCGAAUUCAUGUACAAUUCAAUAUCAAUAUUCAUCUUAUUAUUAUUUUUUUUACUAAACAUAUUAUUCAAAAUUCAACAAUUAUUAUUAAUAAAUUCAAUACCAAUACGUAUAUAUAUAUUCAUUCAAUUCUUUCAUGAUACUCACCUUAAUUUGCUUAUCAUACAUAUUAAUUUAAAUUUCAACGAUUAAUAAUUAAAUUCGAAUUAUAGUAAUACUAACCGUAAUUUCUCUCGAGUCACUCCUUGUCCACUUUCUCCUUUCCUUUCUCGGACAAUGACUCGUACACGACAUUAGCUACGUAAUUAAACAAUUAAAAAUCAUUAAUACACAAUUUCAUUAAAAUAUUUCCUUUUAUACCUAAACUUUACCCAAAUUCUAAUUUAAUCCCUUACCAAUACUAAUUUUAUUUUUCCCAAUCUAACUCUAUAUUCUCUCUUAAUUCUUACUAUAAAGUCAAUUUAAUUCCUCAAUUUCACCAUAAAUCCCUAAUUUCGGGAUUCUUUCAAUUUAAUCCCUAUCGAUUCAAAACUUAUAUUUUAUUUUACAAUUACAUUCUUUACUAACUUCUAACUUGAAAUUAAAUCAAUUUAACCCCUAACUAAACCUAUAUAUUUUUCUUUCUCAAUUCAUACCCUUAUUCUACCCAAUUUCUUGCUAAACUCAUAUUUAACUAUUUAAUUUUUAUCAUGUUUUCAUAAUUCCGAAUUUAUUUCAAAUUAAUCCCUAAAAUUCAAAACUUAUAGUUUAGUUUACAAUUCAAUCCUUUAUUCAAUUCCAAUCAAAAUUUCUAUCAAAUACAUCCCUAAUUUAACAAUUUAUUCAACAUGAACCAUGCUUAAUAAUCUACUAACUUCCAAAAUUUCAACUUAAAUCAAGUAGUAUUUUAUUCUAGGAUUUCAAAAAAAAUAUCAAAAUUAAGAGAAAAGGGGAUUAAAUUGACUUACCAAAUUACUUUGAACCUUAAAACCCCAAAUUUCCCUUUUUCUUUUCUUUUCUUUCUUUCUUUCCUUCCUUCCUUCUCUGUUUCGUUUUGCUCUCUGUUUCUUUCUUUCUCCCUUCUCUGUUUUGUUUUGCUCUCUGUUUCUUUUCUUUCUUUCUUUGUCAUAUAUAUAAUAAUAUAAUAAUAUAAUAAUAUAAUAUAAUAUAAUAUAAUAUAUUAAUAAUAAUAUAAUAUAAAAACAUAAUUAUUACUUACGCAUGUAUAAUAUAAUAUAUAUUUUAAAUUAAAAAUAUCUUAGAUUUUUCUUUUGUUAUGCCGCCUCAACUUUAGAAAAAGGCAUAAUUGCCUAUUUGGUCCUUUAACUUUUCUUUAAUCUAUAAUUAAACUUUUAUCCUUACUUCAAUUUAGUCCUUUUUCAUAAUUAACUAUCAAAGCGUUAAAAUUUCUUAACGAAACUUUAAUAUUAUCCUGUUGACACUCCGUAAAUAUUUUUAUAAAUAUUUACGGCUCAGUUUAUAAUAUCGAGGUCUCGAUAUCUCGUUUUCGACCCAAUUUACCUAAUAAUUUCUUUUAAAUCACAAAAUUCACUGAUUUAAAAAUAUUUCUAAAAUCACACUUAACUUAUAAUUAUUAAUUAAUAAAAUUUUCUAACUUUUUCAUCAAUUUUAGUGAUCUCAAAUCACUAUUCUGACACUACUAAAAAUUGGGCUGUUACAGGAUCUAGCCCGGACGGGUGAUCCUAUCUUGAUAUAGCUCUCCUGAAGAAUAUGUGUAAAAUGGAUUUAGCCCGGACAGUAAUCUGAAUUAGGGUCUGAAUUUAGCCUGGACUGGUAAUUCAGAUCCAAGCUCAUUAGAGUAAUUGUCGUUGCAGGGGAUUUAGCCUGGACUGGUAAUCCCGACAAUACUCUAUGAGUUUAUAUUGCAGGGGAUUUAGCCUGGACUAGUAAUCCCACUGCAAGGUUGAGGUUCGCGGAGUGGGCUCUCUGAAAUGGAAAUGUGCGCACAUGAAUAUGAAUUGACAGACCUGGAAUUGUGCACUAAAAGUGUACCUCUGAAAAUCCAUCGAAAUUCUGAUAAAUUCAACGGGAUAAAUAUGGAAAAAUAACAAGGAAAUGGAAAUUAUGAUUGUAACAGCCAAAUUUUUCAGUGGUGUCAGAAACAGUGAUUCGAGAUCACUAAAUCCGACGAGUAAGUUUAGAAAUUUUAACAAAUAAUAAUUAUAGGCCAAGCGCGAACUUAAAAGAAUUAUUUUUAAUUAGUGAAUUUUGUAAUUUUAAAAGAAUUAAUCAGGUAAAUUUGGUUGAAAACGAGGUAUCGAGACCUCGGAUUUAUAAAUCGAGCCAUAAAUAUUUUUAUAAAUAUUUAUGGAGUGUUAUUAAGUUAGUAUUAAAGUUUUGUUAGAAAAUUUUAACGUUUGGUUAGUCAAUUAAUUAAAAAGGACUAAAUUGAAAAUAGUGCAAAAUUUAUUAAAUUGUGAUUAAAUAGUUUAAGUGAUUAAAAAGGAGGGAUUUAAAAGGAAUUGGACCCAAAUUGUAUGGGCUGGACGGUUGGGCAAGAAAAUCAGCAAAAAAGACAAGGAGAAACAAGGGCAAAAUGGGAAAUUUUGCAAAUUAAACAUAUAAAACAAGACAAAUUUGAAAACUCUAGAGAUAUCAUAAUUUUUCUUCAGAAAAAACGCCAUGGGAGGUCUGAAAGCUGCUGGUUUUUCAUACUUUGACAUAUGUGAGUUCAAUUCUUACCCUUUUCUUUGAGAUUUUUAUGUUUUUGUGACUUUUACAAUUAGAUCCAAGUGUUUAAUUCAUUAGUUUUUGAUUUUAUUAACAAAAUUAAAAGCUAUCAUUGAUAAGUGUUAGCUGUUUAUGAUGAAAUAAAAUGAAUUUGAAGCUUUGAUUUUGUUGUUUGAUGAUUUUAUCAAGUAAUUUCAAUAGAAAUUGAUUUUAGGACCUAAUUGUGAAAAAGUUGUGAAUUAAGGUUUAGUGUUAAAAUUCUGAUUUUCAAAGAUUGUGUAAUAGUUUAGAAUGAUGGAAUAAAAUGUUAAUUGAGAAAAAUUAGCUUAAUAGAUGGGCUAAUUGAGCAAGGACUGAAUUGUAUGACCUUUGAAAUUUAGAGGAAAAAUGGUAAUAAACAUCUCGAAUUACAACAAUAUUGGACAGUAGAAGUAGACUAACUUUGAAAAAUCACCAUAAAUUAUAGAAAUCGAAUUAGAAGAUGAAUAAAAUAUUAAAUUAAAGCUUAUUGAGUCUAGUUUUUCAUAGAAGAAACGGUGUAAGUAAUGGAUUUCUAAAUUAUGAGAGAUAUAAUGAAUUUUGUGAGAUAAGGUUAGAAUGCAUUCGGGUUCCCCUGUUUUGACUUUGGAAAAUCACCAAAAAUUGAAGAAAAUUAAUUAGAGUCUCAAAUUUAUAUGCUUAGAAUUCUUAAUGAGUCUCAAAUUUAUAGGGGAAACUUAAAUGAAUAAACUGUACUAAUUGGCUAAACCAAAAAUUCUUAAAAUUUUAUGGUGGAAUGAUAUGUGAGUCUAGUUUUAUAUAAAAUUUACGGAUCUUAAUUUUGAGCUCUUUAGCUCGAAUUAUAAAUAAUUGAGUGACUAUGACUCGUGUGAACAGAUUGAUGUGAGCAUUAAUAAGUAAAUUGUGAAAUCGUACUUACAAGAAUGUUAUAUACAUUAAGGAUGUGGAAUGGAGAGGAGGAGGAUGAAAAAUAUAUAUGAAUAUUCAGUUAGCAUGGCUAAUUUGCAUGUUUUAAGCUCAUGGACUAAAUUGAAUAAAAGUAAAACUUUAGGGGGAAAUUUUGUAAAAAUGUCAAAAAAUGACUAAAUUGAAGGGAAUAAAUUGUUUUAUUAUCUAAAUUAAUAAAUUAAAUGAAAUUAUCAAUUUAAGAUUGGGUGAAAUUUGGGAAAAUAGUAAAUUGCCAAUAUGCCCCUAAAUCUUGGUAUUUCUGUAAUUUAGUCAGGUAGGUUCGGAUACCCUGAAUGAGCAUGUAAAUAUGAAAAUUUAAGUAUUGUAUCGUGUUUUAUAUGAUAUUUUGAAUUGAAUAUGUGAAAAGGAUGUUACAUGAAACAUGAAAAUCAAUACUAAAUAAUAUAAAUUAAUUGAAAUUAUUCUGAAAAUUUUGGUAAUGCCUCGUAUCCUAUCCCGAUCUCAGGUGCGGGUAUGGGGUAUUACAAUGAUAUUGAUGAGCUCAUCAAUCAUGGUAUAUAUUAUUGGUACAUGGAAAUUAUUGUACUAACUUGAAUGUUGAGUUUGUGCAUAUUAGGGUAAUAAUGCAUUGAAUGGAUAUAUGAAUGUUUAUUGUAUUGUAUUGAAAAUAUUAGGUAAGUAUAAUUCUUGUUACAUGAGCUUACUAAGCACGAAGUGCUUACCCCAUUUCCUUUUUUCCUGUUUUGUAGUGUUAAGAGCUCGGAGGUCGAAUUUGGUCGAAGACACAUCACACUAUCAACCUCAGGAUUUCGGUAUAUAAAGAAACUUUAUUUUGGAAAUUAAUGGCAUGUAUAAGCUAAUAAAGUAAAUGUUAACGUGAAAUGAAUAUAAAGUUAGCCAUUAGUAUGGUUAACAAACCUGGUUUUGGGUAUAUGAUGACGUUAUCUUAUAAAUAUGCAUGAAUUUAUCUUGAAAAUAUGUUGAAUUGGUUUGGUUGAAGUGGAUUGAUCUCGAUUUAAUAUUGCAGGGAAGGUUAGAUAUUUAUAAAGGGGGCUAUAUUGAAUUAAAAAAAAUCGUAAACUCCAAAAAUACCUCGUACCCUAUUCCGGCAAUGAAUACAGGUAGGGGGUAUUACAGCCGAAUUAGGGUGAAACCUCAUAAGGGGAUCCAUAAAUCGAGUUAAUGCAACCCUCGGGUGUUAAUUAGAGAAAAAUCUCAAUUAUUCAAUCUAAGGAUUAGACGUUGUUAAUCUUGAACAGGGAUAAUAACAUAACUUAGAGAUCUCUACGGAACAAGUUGAAUGAAUAAAUCGUCCGAUUCGGAGCCAAAAUAACAAGUAAAGUCUAGGUGGAUUUUUCCUUAGGUAUUGUCUUAAGUCAAUCGAUUUUCCCCAAAAGCAAUUCCCCAAUUCUUUUCAUUGUGAGUUCUUAGUUUAGAUAAUUAGUUAAUUAAAACAAAACCUCUUUAUUCUUAGGCUAGAUAAUAAAAAGACAGUCAUUACUAGUACUUUUAGUUCCUUUGGGUUUGACAAUCCGGUCUUGCUAAAACUAUACUACUGUUCGAUAGGUACACUUGCCUACAUCGCGAUAAUAGUUAGUUUCAAAAAUGAUUAAUUAUAAAUAUUUAAAACCUAUCACGAAAUAAUGCGAUCAAUCCCCGAAAAGCUCCUGGGGUGGAUGGGCUUCCGGGGAGUUUUUUUAAAGAAAAUUGGUCGACGGUGGGAGGAGAUGUUUUAAGGUUAUGCAGGGAUGUCUUACAAGGCGACCAAAGUGUGGAUUGCAUCAAUGAUACUUUAUUGGUCAUGAUUCCUAAGAUCAAGAAUCCCUGUGAGAAGACAAAUUUCCGCCCGAUAAGCUUGUGUAGGGUCAUUUAUAAGAUGAUUUCUAAAGCUUUGGCUAAUCGGCUAAAAGUUGUGCUUCCCAAUUGUAUUAGCCAAAAUCAAAGCGCUUUCGUCCCCGACCGGAUGAUUCAAUACAACGUCCUUGUUGCUCAUGAGCUCAUGCACCUCCUUCGGAGCUUCAAAAAUGGCCCUAAUAAGGGUUGUGUAAUCAAGCUUGAUAUGAGCAAAGCAUAUGACCGGGUCGAGUGGAUUUUCCUUGAGAAAGUGAUGAUAAGAAUGGGUUUUUCUAGUGUUUGGGUUAAAAAAAUAAUGCAUUGUGUUUGCACGGUCCGUUAUAGAGUUAAAUGCAAUAUUAACCUCAUCGAUCUCAUUGUCCCAGAGAGGGGUCUUCGCUAAAGGGAUCCCCUCUCCCCUUACCUAUUUCUUUUCUGUAUGGAUGUCUUCUUUUGCAUGUUGCUCAAAGCCCAAGAGAACAAAAAUAUUAAGGGCAUCUGUGCGAGUAAGAAUAGCCCUAGAAUUAACCAUCUAUUUUUUGCUGAUGAUGCUCUUUUGUUUGUCAGGAAUCAACACAGUGAGGUGGAAGCGUUCAUGAGAAUUUUGGACAAGUUUACAAAGAUGUCAGGUCAGAACAUUAAUUUGGAAAAAUCCAUGGUGUUUUUUAGCCCCAACACCCAUGUGACACAACGUGCUAUUUUGGGGGAACUCCUUUGUCUGAAAGUGGUGGAUAAGCUCGAUGGCUACCUUGGUCUCCCCAUCCUUACUACUAAAAAAAGGUCAAGCAUGUUUCAAAACAUCCUGGACCGUCUCGCGAGCAGAAUCAAUAGUUGGUCAAAACGCCUUUUGUCAUAUAGUGGCAAGGAAAUCUUUAUUAAGUCGAUUAUCCAAGCGAUUCCUACCUAUGCUUUUUCGGUGUUUUUGGCUCUUAAGAGGGUUUUAGAGGAGAUCCAAUCAUUGACGAGGCGUGUGUGGUGGGGCGGUGGGGAUAAGAAGAAAGGGUGGUACAUGCUACCUUGGGACCGGUUGUGUUACCUGAAAGGUAUGGGAGGCCUUGGUUUUAGGGAUAUUCGACUGUUUAACAUUACUUUGUUGGGUCGACAGGUGUGGCGUCUCAUUAAUUGUAGGGAUACUCUUUGCUAUAAAGUUUUAAGUGCUAAGUAUUUUCCUGACGGAGAUGUCUUUCAUCCUAAAAGUAUGGACAAGCCCUCUUUUACAUGGAAGAGUAUUGCUAAGGCUGCUAUGGUUCUUCAGGAGGGCUUUGGUUGGUUUGUUGGUAAUGGAAAAAGUAUUAGAGUUUGACACGACAACUGGGGUUUCGAAGGGCUGUCUGGUAAUUCCAUUUGUCUUGAAAAAGGGCAGGUCAAAGAAGAAAAGGUGUGUGAUUUGUUCAACUGUAGUAAGGAUGAUUGGAACAGAAAUAGGGUUCGGGAUAUCUAUGGUGAUAAUAUGGGGGACCAUAUUUGCAAUAUUCCCAUUAUUCAUAAUGGUCCUGAAGAUCGACGUGCAUGGUUUCAUAACCCCCACGACAUUUUUUCUUCAAAGUCUGCCUGCUCGUGGUUGGUGCUUAAACAGGUAGGUUUCGGACCUCACAGGAUUUUCUGGAAAAUCACGUGGAAAUUAAAAACCCUCCCGAAAAUUCGGGUUCUUUGCUGGAGAUUGGGCAUAAUAUUUUGCCUACGUACGAUAAGAUUUCCAGAUUUCGUAAUGGUUUUGACGAUUCUUGUCCGAGGUGUGGUAAAGAUAUGGAAACCCUUAUUCAUGCAAUGAAGGACUGUCAGAUGGCUCGUGAAGUGCUUGAGUAUCGUGGGCUUAAUAAUAAGUUUUUGGUCGGGAAUUACUCCAGGUGCAUUGACUGGAUCGAAGACAUGGCGCGAGAUUUGGAUUAUAAGGCGGUCUCUGACCCCAUAACCGUCCUUUAGAAUGUCUGGAAUAGUAGAAAUAACCGGAUCUUUAGGGGUAUCGAGGACGGGGCCAAAGUGACCUGGGAAAGAGCAGCAGCUUUGAGCAAGGAUUUUCGAAUUUUUAACCUGCUGGAGGAGCCAAUGUUGCCUAAGAAAGCUAAGGAUAAAGUUUGGAGGAAACCGCGAUGAUCAAGAUUAACUUUGACGCCUCUGUUUUUGGAAAGAAAGUGUUUUUCGAGUUGGUUGCCAGAGAUUCUGAAGGUUUUGUUCAUGGGGGCGGAUGGGGGUUGUGGAUAAGGAGAUGCAUAUUGAGAGGGCUGAGAUGCUGGCCAUGGAUGAAAGUUUAAAGUUUGCCCGGUCUAAUAAUUGGACUGCCUUGGAGUUGGAAUCUGACUGUGCCAGCCUAGUGAACCGUUUUAAAAAUCAGAGCCAUGAUUUGACUAUGCUAGGUCAUCGUCUGCGCGAGAUACAGAGGCAAACUCAUUGUUUUAGUUAUUUUACGUUUAAAUGGGGCCCGCGUUGUUGCAAUAAAGUGGCCGAUUGCCUUUGUAGUUGGGCUAAGACUAAUGCUUGUAAUAAGGAUUUUAAAAUGGACUAUCCUGUGGAGGUCCAUGAUCUUGUUUUGAAUGAUGCUAUAAAUUGAGUUUUGACCGUCGGGUCUUUUUAUCAAAAAAAAGAAAAAAAAAAGUAUCUGCAGCAAGUCUCGACAGUGUACAACAACAUUCCAUCGAAGGUAAAGUGGAGAUGGUUGAAGACGAGCUGCAUCAAGUAUGGUGAUGUGGCGGAUGCUUUAAUCCCUACAAAAACAGGUGUAAAUGGAUCAAAAUUUGGGUUUGUAAUAUUCUAUAAUCUCGAUGAAGCAAUGGGUGUAGUUUCGAGGUUGAGUGGUGAAGUGAAGUUGGCAAGAUUUCAACCAAGAAAUACUACUGGAGAAGGAAAACGGCACAAGAUCGAUUUGGUCAUGAUGCUGGGAAACAUGUAAAACUGAACCAAAGUGGGUUAAAAGAAGAUAGCUGACCAAGUACCAAGUACUGAUGAUAACAAGCAAUGGAGGAAGCAAAAUCUGAAAGUGAUAAGGAGAAGAACGAGAAACGUUUGGUGGAUGAAUCAGGAAAGAAGGAAAAAGAUACGAUAAUGAAGGAAGUAGGCCGUUCUUGAUAUUUUUACACCCUAGAGAAAACAAUAAAAUGAUGUUUUAGAUUUAUUAAAAGUUAUUUACAUCGCUUAAAAGUUAGUCUCUUAAAAAAAACAUUUUAGACCCAUUAAAAAUUGAUAAAAAAUUUUCUUCGCCUUUAAAAGUUAGAAAUGUUUAUUUUGGCCGAAAUAAUAUUUUAAAUCAUUUUUAGCUUUUAUGUUUUGGGCAGCCACACUUUCAGACGACAACAGAAUUGAGCUUGGAAGGAAGUUAUUGGUACAGUAAGUAAUGAAAAUCUACACUAGAAAAAAGUUUAGCGGUAAAACAAGUCAACAUUUCACAGUUAAUGAAAUUCAAAUGAAGAUAGAGAAACACCGCAGAUAGGAGGAUUUCAGGUAACGUGUUCUUUAAAAAUGAAGAGAUUAUUUUCAAACUGCAGCAAAGGGGAUGGGAGGCCUUUUCUAAUAUUUUUAGCUCUGUGGAGAGAACCUGGAAAUUAAAAAUACAACUCUUAUUUUGGGUUACCUUUACAAGCAUGGAAUAUUUCCACCUUCCAGCCUUUGGGGAAAUUUCAUUAGGAUCGACAGUGACACUAGCAAUAUACAAUCAUUUAUUUUACCGGAUGAACAUACAAAUUAGUACAAAUAUAAGGGAGAAUAGAAUAGCUGAUAAAAUUGAAGGUGCGAAAUAAAGAGCACUUUGUAAGAGUAGCUGAGAUUGAUCAAGCAGUAAUUCCUAGUAGAUUUUAUUGCUGUGGGAAUGAGGUGAUGAUGUCGAGUCGAGAAGCCAUGAUAUAAAUGAAGAUCCAGCCAAAACAAACAUGGCGAAUGAUUUUCCGCAGAAUGCUUCAAGUGAAGAUGAAGGGUCGCGAACAAAGGUUGACGACGAUAAGCUGGACUGUUCGGGGCAUAAAGUCGACAAUUUCAUAGGGAAUACUAACAACAAAUCUAAAGUUACGGCUGAAAAUUUCAAGCAAUUGGAAAAAAUAAAUGUUGAACAGGUGCACAUGAGAGAAGAUGGCUAGAGACAAUUAAUGCUAACGGCGGGUAAUUGGAAAAUAUUACUAUUGACAGGCAAGUUUUGUCGGAUAUAAGAGAAUCUGUUGAAUUAUGGGGUGGUGAUGGAAGAAAGUCAAAUAUUGACAUGGAACGGGUGACGUUGCUUAGUAUAGAUAACAUGGGUGUAAACGAGACAGUUGAAGUAGAAGUAAGUAACCGGGACAAGGAAGGUGAGUGUUGGCAAGUCCAAUGUCAAGAUGGAUCGGACACUAGCGUUGGGCCAUUCAGAUGGGAAUCAAGGUUCCGUUGAAACCGUUGAGGUGAUGGGUAGAGAUAAUACAACUGAAGGCAAGGAAUUGGUUGAAAUUACGAUGAGGAUAUUGAAGAGUACAUAGCCAAAGGAUGCAGUAAAAGUAAAGAAAAUUGAGAAAGAAGAAACUAACGGCCAGUGGUGAACGCAUUCCGACUUCAAAAACAGGAGGAAGGCGUUGAAGUUGGGUAAGAUUGUGGGACUAAGUCUACAAGUUGAUGGAGAUGAGGAUGGAGUUUUGAGAGAUUUGGCAGCAAUAGAGUUAGCUUUGAAGAAAGUUUGAUUUUGUUUUUUCUUUGGUGUACCUGUCAGUAUCCUCAAACUUUCUUCUCUAAACCUCUCCUAAUGUUUCCCAUGAAUGCCCGGCGCUAGCAUGCAAACUAUCUUAUGUUUCUCUAAAAUAAGAAACUCUCUUGAUUUUGAAUGCUGUUUGGGUUCAUUGUCAAAUUCUCAUAGACAGAUGAAACCACGGUGUUUGAAAGUUAAAUGAAAGUAAUGGAGAGCAAAUAAAUAAAUAAAUAUUAAAUAAAUUGAAGUUGGAGAGUGACUUGAGGUGAGCAUGACCAGGCCAGACUCAAUUAAAAAUUUAGAACUGUUUGUUAGGUCUAGAUCUGACCCAAAAAAUAGGCUUAAAAUGUUACAUUUGCUCGAUUUGAAUAAAAAUGUUAAAACUCGGGUUCAACUCGGCCCGGCCAUAUUAAUUUUUAUAUUAUUUUAAAUAAUAUAUAAUACAUCAAAAAUACUAAAAAUAUCAAAAUAAAUAUUUCCUAACAAAUUGAAAAUAAAUUUUAAAAUAUAUAUAUACUUAAAUAACACUAAAAUAGAUGCAACUUAAUAAACAAAUAUCUCUAAAAUAAUAACAAAAUUAACAAUAAAAUAAGUUUUAUACAAUAUCCACACAAUAACAACAAAAUAAUAGUAACAUAAUAGUAAAAUAGUAGUAAAAUAAAGAGAAAAUAAUACAAAAAUAAUAUUAAAAAAACAGAUCUUUUUUGUCAUUUAGUGGAUCCGGGCUGGGCUCAAGCAAAAAAUUUAUUACCCAAGGCCCGGCACAUUUUUUAAACGGGCUUUUUUUUUUAUCCAAACUCAUUUUUUGGAACUAUAUUUUUGCCUAAAUCAUUCCACAUUUCGAGCGGACUUUCGCAGGUCUAGGUGAGUUGCAUAUAGAAAUAUUAAAAAAUUGAUAAAAAAUAGAAUUCAUUAAUAUGAAGUUAUUUGAAUUAAAUAUAUGUAAUAUUAUUUUACAUGAUAAUAUUAUGAUUAUAAUAAAAAUUACUAUAAUUGGUGCUCAUGCACAGAGUUUGCUUUCACGGUAAAAAAAAGUAUAAUAACAGUCAAAUUUUAAACCUAUUAGAUUAAAAUAAAUAAUUAUAAUGCAUUUUAUAAUAUUAUUUUUAAAAAAAUUAUUCUUAGCCAAUUUUAAACAAUAAUAUUUUAAUUAAAAAAUAAUUUUGAAAAAAAAAAAGCCACAAAGAAUGAAUAUAUACCAUAUUAUAUUAUAUUAUUUAUGAUAUGAUAUGAUUUCUUAUAAAUGUUUCGAACAACAUUAGUUACCAUUUAAUCCACAAAGUUUUAUUUAUAAGUGUAAAAAAAAAACCUAAAAUACGAAAGUUAAUUUUCUGUGGAAUGUGAAAAGAUUAAAAAAAUUAAUACUUAAUUUACAAUUCAGCGUUUAAAUUAUUUUUAUAUAUUAAUUAGUUCGAUACUUAAAAUAUCAAUUUAUCUAAAAAAUAUUUUAGAAGAAUUUCAAAGCCCGAGAUUUUAGAAGAAUAAGAAAUCGAAGAUUAAAACACUAUAAUUUUAUAGAGCAAUUAAUAUCCAUGAAAUUUAAACAAAUUCUCACAUCCGUAGGGCACUCUCCACCAUGAAACAUUUUAAACUAAAUAUGGUCAUUUUUUCGGUUUUACCUAAUUCAUUUUUUAAUAUAAAUAUGGAACUUCAAUAGCAUAUUAUUCAAGCCUUUGCUUAAGGGGCCAUAAGUGAUAAGCAAUAAACAACCCCACAACUUCAAGUAAGGUCAAGUAAGGUUUUCUUCUUUCUUACUUUCUUUUCUUCAAAGGAAAGAAAGAGAGAGGAAGAUACUUUUCUUGAAACAAAAAAAGUUGUUUAAAAAUGGCAAAUAAUGCUAUUAUUGGUAUCUGUGCGGUGUUCCUGGUGGCCAUGGUGGUAGCCGUGGUGGUGGGUGUUACGCACAUAAAAAAAAAGAACGAUGGUGAAGAGAUAUCGAGUUCGAACAAAGCUGUGCAAGCCCUAUGUCAACCUACUAAUUAUAAAGAGACGUGCCAGAAAAGCUUGGCGUCGUCAAAUUCUAGCGACGUUAAGGAGCUGAUAAGGACAGGUUUCCAAGCCGGGCUAGUUGAGAUAAAGAACGUGUUGGCCCAUUCAGUGACGGUCCAAGAGUUGGCCAAGGAUGAGAACAACAAAGCGGCACUUGGUGUUUGCCAAGAGGUGUUGGACUUAGCCAUUGAUGACUUUCAAAAGUCUUUCGACGUGUUAGGGGAAUACGACAUGAGCAAGAUCGGAAAAUACCUUUUGGAACUGAAGACCUGGCUAAGCGGUGCAUUCACGAGUCAACAGACAUGUAUAGACUCAUUCGCGCAAUCAAGUAACGAAUCAUCGCAGAAGAUGCAAUCAAUCUUGAAGACUAGCAUGGAGAUCACUAGCAAUGCUUUGGCGAUGCUUAAUGGGUUAUCCACCAUCGUAAAGGAACUUAACAUUCCAAACGUCGGCAACAUCGACAGCACGGGGUUCAAUCGUAAGCUUUUGUCGGCUGAGGAUAUGCCUGAGUGGAUUAGUCAAGCUGACCGAAAACUCCUUCAAGCAAAACCAAUGGAUUUGAAGCCUAACGUUGUGGUUGCUAAAGAUGGUAGUGGGAAAUAUGAUACUAUUAACAAGGCAUUGGCUGAAGUCCCCGUGAAAAGUCCCGAUCGAUUUGUUAUUCACAUUAAGGCUGGUACUUACAAGGAAAAAAUCAACGUGACCAAGCAGAUGAUUAAUGUUGUAUUCAUCGGUGAUGGCCCAACCAAAACCAUCAUCACAAAUGACAUUAGCGUUGCUAAAAAUCCACCGGUUAGAACAUACCGCACUGCAACUGUUGGUAAGUAGUAUUAUAGACAUAUAUAAGUUUUGGUGGUGUGGUGAGGUGAGGUGGCUAACUAAUAUAUAUGUAUGUAUGUUUGUGAAAUAUUUUAGGUGUGGAUGGGGCUGGUUUCAUGGCCAAGGACAUUGGAUUCGAUAACUCAGCAGGACCCGAAGGUCAUCAAGCAGUGGCUUUUAGGGCAACUGCUGAUAGGGUCAUCAUGUUCAACUGCCAUUUCACUGGGUACCAAGACACUCUUUAUGCUCAUAGAGAGAGACAGUUAUAUACCAACUGUCUCAUUACUGGAACGGUGGAUUUCAUCUUCGGGGAUGCGGCGAGCAUUUUCCAGAACUGUAUGCUCAUCGUGAGGAAGCCAGGGCCUGGCCAAAAUUGCAUGGUUAUUGCACAGGGCAGGAAUGAUCUUGGAACAAACUCAGCCAUUGUGCUUCAAAACUGCACCAUCUCGGGCGCCCCUGAUUACAUCCCAGUGAAGGAUACAAACAAGGCAUACUUGGGGCGUCCCUGGAAACAAUUCGCUAGGUCUAUCAUAAUGCAAUCUCAAAUCGACGACAUCAUUCAACCAGAGGGUUAUGCCCCAAUGACAGGUACCAUAGGAAUAGACACUUCUUUCAUUGCCGAGUUUGGAAAUAGGGGACCCGGUGCUGAUACCAGCCGUAGGGUAGCAUGGAAAGGUAUAAAAAAGAUAGAUAUAAAUGAAGCCAACAAAUGGACUCCUCGCAUCUAUCUUGAAUCUGAGACUUGGAUUCCGAGUUCCGGCGUUCCCUAUAGUCCCAACAUGGUCCCUGGAGUUUAAACAGCUUAUUAUUGAUACCAACGCCAUUAGUAUGCUUAUUAUCAUAUCAUUGUUCUAAUUAUGUCGUUUUUAACUAAUUAAUUAAACAGUUUUUUUAAUCUUUUAUCUAUCUAUGUAUAUAUGUUGAAUUCUUUGGUUUCCCAAUUGUUGUUUCCACUCACUUGAUGUUUGCAAAACCCAAAAAUUAAGUCAACAUUUAAAUAUUAUUGAACUUAAUUUAAUAUAAUUUUUUAAAGAUUAUUUGGAUUGAUAAUGUUGUUUCCCUAAUGUAGACACCUUCCUUUAAAUAGAUUUAAUAAAAUGAUUAUUAUCAAACUUAAUUACAAGAUUUAAUAAAAAUAGUUUAUUAAGCAACAAUUACUAAUAUAAUAUUAAAAAUUAAUAAAAACAAUUAUAUUAUAAAAAAUCAAUCUUAUUUUUUUUAUAUAUAUUUUAUAUAUGGACUUAAGUAAGCAUCCCGCUCAUGGAAUCAAAGAUUUGAUCAAGUGGUAAAGAUUUUUUAACUUGAGCAAAACAAAGAAGAACAUUGUGUUUAUAAAUAUUUAGAGGAUGAAAAGGUGGUCUUUCUCUUUCUAUAUGUCAAGUGAAAUUCCACUAGUUGAGAAUAAUGUAGGGAUAUUGUAACACCCCAUAUCCGUAACCCAAGCCGGGACGGAGUACAAGGCAUUACCUACUUGAUCUCGUACAUUCAAUCCAUUUUAAGUCACCAAGACUCGGUCCAAUUUAAAACAUUUUCAAUUUCUACUUUAAACCUCUUAAUAUAGGCCUAUGAGGCCUAGAUCGACCAUUGGAAACCGUUCGAAAUUUUUCCAGGUCCUUAUCCAAUCUAUGUAAACUUUGCAUUUAAAACAGGGCACACGCCCGUGUGGGAAGGUAACACGCCCGUGUAAUCAUCCUAACAUGGCCGUGUUGAUGACCCGUGUGUUUUACACGGCCUAAACAUCUAGGGACAUGCCCGUGUCCCUUACCCUUGUGGCCAAUUAUUUACACCAUUUUACAAAAUUCAAGUGUAGACUUCACACGGCCUAGACACACACCCGUGUCCCUGGCCCGUGUUGCUCACACGGCCUUGACACACCCGUGCCUUAGCCCAUGUGAGAAAGCUUGAGUAUUCUAUUUCUGACGUCAGCAUACCCACCAUGUCACACGGCCAUAGCACACGCCCGUGUGCUAGGCCAUGUUCUCCAUACGGCUGAGUCACACAGCCGUGUCUCUGCCCGUUUGUUUAUUACCAUGCAUACUGACUUGAAAUUUUUACGUGCAGGGGACACACAGCCUCAUCACACACCUAUGGGGCUAACCGUGUGUCACACACGGCUUAGACACACGCCCGUGUGCCUACCAGUGUGGACAAAAUAAGGCUAUUUACCAAGCCUAUUUGCCACCCCUACCGAUAUAAAUUAACACAAACUCAACCAACACCAAUUCUAGCCUAUACCAUACAACCACUUCAACUACUAUAGACAUUCUUUCAUAAGGCAAUUUACUCAAACCAGGAAAUAUCAUCUUUGCAUAUGAUCAAAAUGAGUGAUAGUCAACAUCAAGGCUAAAUACAAAGUGUGGGGCUUAUCCCAAGCCUACACCUCUAACCAAUGCUUAAGGGCACAAAAUAAUCAAAUCUAAGCCUUAUACAUGCCAUAUUCAAAAAUAUAAAUCCAAUUAUACCGAAGGUUUUGGACGAUAGUGUGAUCGAUAUCUCUGACUCCAAGUGAUCCUUGAGCUAAUUAGGCGACACUAUAAGAAAAUGGAAAGAAAAAGAGGGUAAGCAUAAAAGCUUAGUAAGUUGCAUAUAAAUAAACAUACAACAACAAUUCAUCAAUAGUUGUCAUGCUCAUAACACAAGGAUAAGCAUAAGUAUGACUUACUCAUUACCACCCAUACAAGUCAUGUGCUCUCCAAUGAGCUCAUUUCUCAUAUGUACCAAUUUGGUACUUGUAUCACUUACAACAUGGUUAUGCUUCCAUCAUUAACUAGCAAGCAUACUUGCACCAUUGAACCAAUGGGUACACUACUGGUCAUUCUAUAAACCUUGAUCUAGGGAUAAAGUGCCGAUGCUAUGUCCCAGACAUAGUCUUACACUGGCUCAAAUCUCAAGUCGAUGCCAUGUCCCAGACAUGGUCUUACACUGACUAUCAUUAUCGAGGCCGAUGCGUGUCCUCGACACGUCUUACUCUAGCCCUCGUAUCAAUGUCGAUGCCAUGUCCCGGACAUGAUCUUACACUGGCUCUCAUAAUGUGGCCGAUACAUUUUCCAGACAUGUCUUACACUAGCUCACAUAAGGGACCCGGAUGUCUCAGUUUGAACAUCCGGUUCAUUUCCUAGUAUUUUAAAGGAAUCUCUGCCAUCUCAUUGUUCUUAUGCAUUCUCAAUACUUAAUUAAGCAAUUCAUGCUAUAUCCAUUCCAUAACAAUUAGACACCUAUUUUAUUGAUAUAGUUGCAUUAUUUACAUACAACUUACCUCAGUUUACAAAAUGUACUCGACUAGUUGGUUUAGUCGAUUUGCUUGGCUUUCCCCUGGUCUAGAUUCGGUUUUUGAAAAACUUGAUCUAGAAUAAAAAAUGCGGUCGUUUAGUCACUAAUUAUAAUUAGGCUACUGUAAAUUCACAUAUUUGAUAAAAUGACCAUUUUGCCCUUAGACUUUGGCAAAAUGACCAUUUUACCCCUAUGAUCGAAAAUUAAUUUUUAUCAAAUUUAUUCGUAUUUCAAGCCUAGCCGAACUCUUUCUACUCUUGUAGAAACCCCAAAAUCCCACUAUUUCACACACUUAUCACCUAUUUUGCAACUUAUGCAAAAUAGCCCAUUUAGGUGUUUUCAUGCUAACACCUUUCACAAAAGUUGUUAAGAAAUCUUCUAAGACUCAUAUUCUUCCAUAAAAACUCAGAAAACAUCACAAGUCCAUCCAUGAAAAAACCCUAAACUCUUAAUCAUUUUUCAAAAUAGUCCCCUCAUAUGAAAGCUCAUGCUUUAGGGGUUCCAAAAAUAUAAAAAUCAUCAACUAAGGACAUGGAAAUCACUUACUUGUUGAGGUGAUAAGUUGCUGAAAUUUCAAAGCUUCAAAACCCCUCUUUUUUUGAUAUUUUCGGUGGAGAGAAGGUGUGGAGAAGAAAGAAAAUAAUAGCUAAGCUCAUAGGUAUUAUUUUAUCACAAAAUUAUGUCAUCAAGCCACCUAAUAUUGACCUUUUUUACUAAACUUGUCUCCUAUGGUCGGCCACCUUUUUUCUAGGGUCUAAUUUCUCUUUAAAGGCCCUCAAUUUUAGUUCUCUAGCUAUUUAACACAUUUGGGGUACUAAAAUGCAACUUUUUCCCUUUUUGCGAUUUAGUCCCUUUUAGCAAUCGGGCUCGCAAAUAUCAAAAUUAACUCACCAAAUUUUUCAUACACUAAUAUAAUCAUGUUAUAACCUUAUAAUAAAAAUAAAAAUAAUUUUCCAAACUUCAAAUUUAUGGUCCCGAGACCACUGUUUCGAUUAGGCUCUAAAUCGGGCUGUUACAGAUAUUGUCAUCGUUUAAACUAUAGUUAACCCAACAGUUUAGGAUGAAGGACUUGGAAGAAGCUAAUUUUGUUCUCAGUAUUCAAAUUCUAAGGGAUUGAAAGAACAAAGUGAUGGCACUAUCGCAAGAUUCACACAUAGGCAAUAUAUUGUAGCGCUAUGUUAUAACUGAUUCGAAGAAAGGUAAUCAAUCUUCUAAUAUCGAGAAUUCACCUCUUUUUGAGGGAUUGUCCUAAGAUAUCAGAAGAAAAUGAGAACAUAAGAAGGGUUCAUUAUGCUUCAACAAUAGGAAGUCUCAUGUAUGCUAUGUUGUGCAUGCAAUCGGAUAUCUAUUUUACAGUAGGUUUGGCGAGUCGAUAUCAGGUGAAUCCAAGACUAAGACACUGACAAAUAGUUAAUACAGUUAAUAAUGAUCAAUUAAUAGAAAAUAUUAGGUUUUGCUGCUGGACUCGUCCGUCAGCUUAGUCAAGAUGCAUUGAUAGGCUACUUGUAGUUCAUUUCUAUUUGUAUUAGUCAAACACCCAUCAUGCCAUUCUAUCUAUCUAGGAUUGUUUCUUUCUCUAAAUUUACCUUUUCAGCCUACUUUAAUGACUGACAACUCUUUUCAUAGGUCACAAUGAUUGAUGAUUUGCAAUGCCACAUGAUUACACAACCACAGUAGCCUGCACUUAGCAUUUUUUGCCUCGUAAGAAAGGUGAAAAGUAUGGUUUAAACUUGUCACUUAUCAUGUCUCUACUUGUGUCGUUGCUCCAAACUGGCUUUUCAGAUAUACUCGAGGUAAUGGUUGGCACAGGUGUUGCUAAAUGAAUUAGCAAGGGAAUUUGUACUAAACUUCCUAAAUACCAGAUCUGAAAAAUUUUAAGUUCUUCAAUUCUUGGUUUACUGCAUUGCUUCAUUCGUUGACGACAUGUCUCUUGCAAUGUUAGUGCACUCUGCGAUGCUUGCCGUUCAACAUCUAUACUUGUUAACUGCCCAACUUGAUUGAGUCAUUCUAUAUAAGCAUAAGUUCUAUCUAUCUAUCUAUCUAUAUAUAUACAUAUUUCCAAUUUUGUUUAACAUCCAGAAAAUUCCUUGACCUUCAAAUCCCCAAGGUUCAUGGUUAAAGUCUAAAGGCAUGCAAAGCCUAAUCAAUUCAAGUUUAUCAAUUGGGUCUAUUAUUUUUUUCCAUUUUUGCCUUAAAAAUUCUUGUAUCAAUAGACACUCUUCUACUAGCUCGACCUUAAUUACCAAUGUUUCUAUUGGUUGAUUUGCAUUAUGCUGCUACUGUAUUUCAAAUUUAUUGGUACAAUCCAAUGGUUCUAAGACAAUGAGUUCCAUGAUGGUCUAAUUCUUUAGCUUGCUAGCCAUUUUCCCCACUAGCUCUAUGUCUUCCCCUUCUGUAGUGGUGUUCAACUCAUUUAGAUACUUUUUUGUCUGCUGAUAUGAGUAAUAGUCUAGGAGUUCUCCUUCUUCACAAGCGUCUAUAAUGUCAUUCUCUUCUUUUCUCAACUUCGGACUUAGCACAUCAUGGUACCUUUCUGAUGGUAUAUCAAUAUGGUUGUUAUUAUCUUGGGAAAGAUCUAGGGUUUCUCUUCGAAGUUGACUUAAUUCGAGUAAGAGUAAUCAUUGAAUCUCUUGGAUCUCCUAAUCUUCAUACACUCCUUCUUCGUAAGUAUUUUGAUCAUAAUCAAAGUCUUCGUCGAACCACGUAUAAUAAAAAUAAUCCAUGGCUUUGUGCUGACUGGUUGUUUUGUGCCUAGGAUUCCUAAGAAUAAACAAAUGUAAUUAACAAAAUAAUUUGAAAGUUGUAACUAUAAACCACAAAUUUCCUAAUUAUUCUUUUAAAAUGAAAAAAAUUAAAAUCAAUCUAGUGACAUUGCCUCCCCGGCAACGGCGCCAACAACUUGACCGCCUUUAGACGUACUAACGCCCAGAGUGUGAAUACUGCAAUAAAAUAGAUAAUUACGAUAUAGUAUCAACAACUAUAUGGGUCGAGUUGUAAUAUAGUUUUUACAAUGAAGUAGGUGAGUACUCCGAUGAUCGUACCCAAGAAAAGCAAGUGUUAGAUUAAUUCUAACCUAAAUACCAAAAGAUCUAAUUAGCACUUUAAAUAAAUUAUAAUAUGAAAGUAUAUAAAAAAGGGUUUUUUAAGGUUUUUAAUAAUAAUAAAAUCAAAUAACAUAAAAGAAAUAAAACUUGUUAGAAUUAAGUGACCCAAAUUCUUAUUUAAAUAAAAUACGAUGGAAAAUAAAAUAAAAGUAAAAUCCAUAUAGAACUAGACUUCUUUUAUUUUAUUUUAGAAUAAGGUUUUUUAAACCUUAUUAAACUUCAUCUAUUUUAUAUUAAUUAGUGUAACAACCCUCGCUCGCAUCCGACGCCGGGACGGGGUUCGAGGUGCUACCUGACUUUUACUAACACUUCCAUACUAAACAGGGCCAUGAAAUCUCAAAUAAUUAAAAACUUUUAUUUUCACAUACAAUCUGUCCCAUAUACGGGCUUACGAGGCCCAAAACAUACAUCCGGAGUGGUUCGGGACCCAACCGAGAACUCAUGAAAAACUUAAAAAAUCUCUUGCAUCAAGGCUUCAUACGCCCGUGUGGGUAUAGAGCACACGCCCGUGUGCUAGGGACACACCCGUGUCCAAAAACCUGGACAAAUACAAGGCUAUUUUCCAAGCCAUUUUGUCACACUCACAAUAGAUACACGCAUGCUUAUACAAUAACAUACAACAUGGCAAAAUUAGGUACUUAAACAUUCCUAACAUGUCAUGAUUAUGGCAAUUUCACAUGCAAUAGAUAUCAUAGAUUUUACUCACAUCUUUACCACAUUCAUACUAUAAUCAUUAUAAACUCAUCACAUAAUACCAUAGCACAUGCAUGCAUAAUUAAAAUAGAUUUACAACCCCAUAAUCAAAAUAGGCCAACACAUAUGAUUAAAGCCAAUCACAUACUCUAAUAUUUAAACUCCUAUACAUGCCGGAGGCUCAAAGUACUUGAAAUCACUACACCAAUAGCGUUAGCUUGACAGUGUGAUAAUAUCUCUGACGGCCUCCAGCUCGAGCUAACUUGGAAACUCUAGAAAACAUGGAAAAGAAGAGGGGGGUAAGCUUUCGCUUAGUAAGUUCAUAUGAAAAUAAUAAGCACUCAUUAACUUGUUUUAUCAAUGUUUACAACAUAUUCUCAAGUUCACUACAAGCUGUCUUUCUGACCAAUGGUCACUAAAUUAUUUAUAUAUGGAGAUACGAAACUCCGAAUUAAGUUCCGUUAAUUUUCCCUGAAACUAGACUUAUUUUAAUUUCUUCCAUAAAAUUUUCAGAAUUUUUGGUUAAGCCAAAUAGUACAGUUUAUUUCUCAAAGUUACCCCUAAUUCACUGUCUGACAGUUCCGACCCUUUUGUACUAAGGUUCAAUUAUCUCAUAGUACAAGACUUGAAUAAUAUUCUCGUCUAUUUCUAUUGAAACUAGACUCAUAUGUAUACUUACUAAUUUUUUUCUAGAAUUUUUGGUCAAGCCAUUUAGUACAGUUUAUUAGUUAAAGUUUCCCCUAUUUCAGGGUAUGACUACUCUGACCCUUGUGCACUACAAACCGAAUUUGUUUUCCUUAAAAAUAUACUCAAUAAGGAAUCCAUGCAUGUAAGUUAUGACUCUUAAUAAUUUUUUUAAAAUUUAUGGUGAAUUUCUAAAGUCAGAACAUGGGAUCUUGAAUUCAUUCAGACCCUGUUUCACAAGAAUUCAAAUAUCACACAAUAUGGAAUUCUUUUUGUUCCCCUAUUUAUUUCAUGUGAAAAUAGACUCAUUAAGCUUUAAUCCCAUAUUUUAUUAUGCCUCUAACUCAUUUUACACUAUUUUUAGUGUAUUUUCAAAGUUACACUACUGCAGUAACUCAAAUCUGUCAAGGCUAAAUUACUCAUUCAUGAUCAUUGUUCACAAAAUUAAUACAACAUCGUUUGUAUAAUAUCACCGAGACAUUCAUAUCACAUUUUCAUUUACCAUCUUACCAUAUUGUUGUUAUGUUGAGUUUUCAACCCAAGGGUUAAGUACAUACCUGUUCAAAGUAUCCAUUUCACAACAUUUAUCAAUACAUCCCUUUCAUCUCGAGUAUUCCUCCAUUUGAGUAGAAUUUUACGUGUUGAACACAUCGGAAUAUAAUUCGGAUACAUGGAAAGUUUGCACAUAAGUGCCACAUAUGUAGCCAAGCUACCAUGUAACCCGCCCAUAAGUGAACUCGGACUCAACUCAACGAGCUCGGGCGUUCGCAUCCAUAAGUGAACUCGGACUCAACUCAACGAGCUCGGAUGCCUAGUUACAUCUCACGAACUCGGACUCAACUCAACGAGUUCGAACGUUCGCAUCCAUAAGUGAACUCGAACUCAACUCAACGAGUUCGGAUGCUCAACCAUCCUAGUGACAUGUCAUUUGUAUCCUAAUCUAUUCCUAAGGUUCAAACGGGAUUUUCCUCGAACACAUAUCCUUGCCAUCUUCCGUAAAAUAACAGAUAAUACACAUAACUUGCAUUUUAUUCGAAAAUAACCACAAAGCAUAUAUUUCAUGAUAAAAAUCAGCAUAUCAUAUAUUUAACAUCAAUAACUUAAAAAUAACAAUUAUGCUACAUUAUUUACACAUGAACUUACCUCGAUACCACAAAGGUGAAAAAAAAAACGUAAUUAUCCCUUAAUCGAUUUCUUUCCGUUCUAGGUCCAAAUCUCGAUUUUCAUCAUCUAAAAUAUCACAUUCAACUUAUUAAAACAAUGUACUGAUCAAAUUAGUCCACUGACACACUUGGGCAAUUUUUACAAUUUUGCCCCUAUAUUUUGCCAAAACUACCAGAUUACCCCUAGGCUCGUAAAAUAAUUUUUAUCACAUUUCUUUACUCUUGAGUCUAGAUGAACCAUUUUCAUAACUGUAGCAACUCAUAAUUUCAACUAUUUCACACAUUUACAACUCAUUUUACAACUUAGCAAUCUAGCCCUUUUUAAGGUGUUUUCAUGCAAUUUCUUUCAAAAAAGUUGUUUAUUAGACAACUAGGACUCAUAAUCUUCCAUAAAAAAUACAGAAAACAACACAUUUACUCUCAUGGAAAAACCCUAGACUCUUCAUCAUUUUGCAAAAUAGACCACUCAUAUGAAAGCUCAUGCUUUAGGGGUUCCAAAAAUGUAAAAAUCAUCAAGCAAAGACAUUAAAAUCACUUACAAGCAAGGGAAAUAUGUUUCUGAAAUUUUCCAGCUUCAAAGCCCUUUCUUUGCUGCAUAUUUCGGUGAAGGAGAAGAGAAAAAUGAUAGCUUUUUCUUUUUGAUUUGUUAAUAAUAAAACUAGUCAAAAUUGGUGACCAAAUUUCACCUAAUUUUGACUUUUCAACAAUUUUGUCUCCCAUGGCCGUCCAUCACACUUUCAAUGGCCUAAUUUCACUUUAAAUACCCCCAAUCUAAGAUACAAGGCAAUUUAACACCUUUAGGUAUUAAAACACAACUUUUACCUUUUACGCGAUUUAGUCCUUUUUCGAAAUUGGACUAGAAAUUGCUAAAAUUAACUUACCAAAAUUUACAUGCACUUAUAAAAUUAUAUUAUAGAACAUAAAAUAAUACUAAAAAAAUUUUCUCUAGCCUCGAAAUAGUGGUCCCGAAACCACUGUUUCGACUAGGCCCAAAAUCGGGCUGUUCCUAAUUUUGACUUUUCAACAAUUUUGUCUCCCAUGGCCGGCCAUCACACUUUCAAUGGCCUAAUUUCACUUUAAAUACCCCAAAUUUAAGAUGCAAGGCAAUUUAACACCUUUAGGUAUUAAAACACAACUUUUACCUUUUACGCGAUUUAGUCCUUUUUCAAAAUUGGACUAGAAAUUGCUAAAAUUAACUUACCAAAAUUUACAUGCACUUAUAAAAUUAUAUUAUAACACAUAAAAUAAUACUAAAAAAAUUUUCUCUAGCAUCAAAAUAGUGGUCCCGAAACCACUAUUUCUACUAGGCCCAAAAUCGGGCUGUUACAGAUUAGGAUAAGGUGUUUCAAUCCUACUAGAAUAUGGCUUUACAAGCCUAUAAAUAGACAUAGUCUAUUCCUCUUGUAUUGAUUCAAUUUUUUGACAUAGUAAAUUUUCUUCUCCUCUGCCCGUGGUUUUUUCCCGAAAGGGUUUCCACGUAAAAUUUGUGUGUUCUUUAUUUUUAUUUUAUUUUAUUUUAUUUUCAAAUUGGUAUCAGAGCUUCCGGGUAAUUCAUCUCGAUCACGGUAAUGGCAUCUUUGAAGUAUGAAAUUCCGCUGUUGGAUCGCAACACUAGAUUUGCGUUGUGGCAAAUUAAGAUGCAAGCAGUUAUUGCACAAAUGGAUCUGGAGGAUGCCCUGCUAGGGAUAGAUAAGAUGCAUCUGCAUUUGUCCAACAAAAUUUUGCAGGAUGUGAUGAAAGAGAAGACUGCCGCUGCAUUAUGGAAGAGGUUAGAACAAAUAUGUAUGUCAAAAACUCUAACAAGCAAGUUGCAUAUGAAGCACGUCUUUAUGCUCAUCGUUUGGAGGAAGGUGCAUCUGUACACGAACACUUAACAGUGUUUAAAGAAAUUCUCUCAAACUUGGAGGCCAUGGUGGUUCAGUAUGAUAAGGAAGAUCUAGGGUUGAUUCUACUUUGUUCGUUGCCCUCGUCUUAUUCAACCUUUAGAGACAUGAUUUUAUAUAGCCGCGAAUCUCUCACAGUUGAUGAGGUUUAUGAUUCUUUAACCUUGUAUGAUAAGAUGAAGUAUCUUGUGGUUAAACCCGACUCUUAGGGAGAGGGUCUCAUUGUUCGUGGGAGACAAGAUCGGAAUGCUGAUGAUGAUCGUGGUAGGAUACAGGAACGAAAUCCUCGUGGUAAAUCUAAAGGUAGAUCGAAGUCUUCAAAUAGAGGUAAAACUUGUAACUUCUGCAAGAAGAAAGGACACAUUAAAUCUGAGUGCUAUAACCUACAAAAUAAGAUUAAAAGGGAGGCUGUGAAUCAAAAGGAAAAAUAACCAGAAAAUUCCGAUGAAGCUGAUGUUGUAGAAGAUUACAGCGAUGAUGAACUUCUAGUUGCUUCUAUCAAUGAUUCUAAAGUAAGCGAGAAAUGGAUACUUGAUUCAGGCUGCACCUUCCACAUGAGUCCCAAUCGAGAUUGGUUUACAACUUACAAAACAAUAUCUGAAUGUGUUGUUUUGAUGGGAAAUAAUGCUUCGUGUAAAAUCGCAGGUGUUGGAAUAGUUAAAGUUAAGAUGUUUGAUGGAGUUGUCAGAACAGUUAUGAGGUACGACAUGUUCCAGAAUUAAAGAGAAAUUAAAUUUCGUUGAGUACUCUUGAUUCAAAAGGGUACAAAUAUACAGCUGAAAGUGGGAUUUUAAAGAUUUCCAAAGGUUCCCUUGUUGUGAUGAAAGGGCAAAGAAAAACUUCCAAGUUAUAUCUUUUGUAGGGUUCUACUAUUACUGGUGAUGCAGCUGUCGCUUCCUCUUCCUUGUCAGAUGAUGAUAUUACUAAAUUUUGGCAUAUGCGCCUAGGGCAUAUGAGUGAGAAUGACAUAGUAGAAUUGAGUAAAAGAAGACUUCUUGAUGGGCAAGGAAUUUGCAAACUAAAUUUCAGUGAGCACUGUGUUUUUGGGAAGUAAAAGAGAGUUCGAUUCACUAGAGGAAUCCAUAACACGAAGGGAAUAUUGGAGUAUAUUCAUUCUGAUCUGUGGGGGCCAUCCAGAGUGCCUUCGAGAGGUGGAGCUAAUUAUAUGCUAACCUUUAUUGAUGAUUUUUCCAGAAAAGUUUGGGCGUUCUUCCUGAAGCAGAAAAUCGAUGUGUUUUCCGCAUUUAAGUCUUGGAAAAUUAUGAUUGAAAAUAGACGGGAAAACAGAUAAAAUACCUCCGCACAGACAAUGGCUUAGAGUUCUGUUCUGAUGAGUUUAAUAGAUUGUGCAAGUCAGAAGAGAUCAUGAGACACUUGACAGUUCGUCAUACUCCACAGCAAAACGGCAUUGCAGAACGAAUGAACGGAACGAUCAUGGAGAAGGUUCGAUGUAUGUUGUCAAAUGCCAACUUAUCGAAGUCAUUUUGGGCAGAAGUAGCCUCUACUGCAUGUUUUUUAAUUAACCGAUCUCCAUCCGUUGCCAUUGAGAAAAAGACUCCACAAGAGGUAUGGUCUGAUAACCCUGCUAAUUAUUCUAAUUUAAAGAUUUUUGGGUGUCCUGCGUAUGCUCAUAUUGAUAAUGGAAAAUUAGAACCGAGAUCCAUUAAAUGCGUUUUUCUUGGUUAUAAAGCUGGUGUAAAAGGGUAUAAGUUAUGGUGUCCUGAAAAUAGAAAAGUUGUGAUUAGCAGAGAUGUUGUUUUUGAUGAAACUGCUAUGCUACCUAAGUUAUCUCUUAAAGAAUCUUCCAAUAAAGAAAAUCAAAAACAGGUGGAGCAUCAGAUUAAUACAGAGUCAACUCCUCAAGCCAGAACAAAAGUUGAGAAUAUAGUUGCUUCUUCACCACAAUACUCUAUCACCAAAAGCAGAACUAGAAGAGAAAUUAAACCUCCAAAGAAGUAUGCCGAGGCUGAUCUAGUUGCUUAUGCUUUAAAUAUUGCUGAAGAUAUAGAUACGAAUCAAGAGCCAUCUAAUUAUUCUGAGGCGGUUAGCUGUGAAGACUCAAAAAAGUGGAUGUUUGCUAUGCAAGAAGAGAUGGAAUCACUCUACAAAAACAGAACAUGGGACCUUGUGAAACUUCCUAAAGGUAAAAAAGUUGUUCGUUGUAAAUAGGUGUUUAAAAGGAAAGAAGAGACUCUAGGAGUUGAAGAACCCAGAUAUAAAGCAAGACUUGUUGCAAAGGGUUACAGUCAAAUUUCAGGAGUGGACUUCACAGAUGUGUUCUCUCCAGUUGUUAAGCAUAGUUCGAUUCGAUCUUUGCUUGGUAUUGUGGCCAUGCAUGAUUUGGAGCUUGAGCAGUUAGAUGUAAAAACUGCAUUUCUGCAUGGAGAACUUGAGGAAGAUAUUUACAUGCAACAACUAGAGGGUUUUAUUGUCUUAGAAAAAGAGGACUAUGUUUGCUUGUUGAAAAAGUCCCUUUACGGUUUGAAACAGUCACCAAGACAGUGGUACAAGAGGUUUGAUUCCUUUAUGACUUCUCAUGAUUUCAAAAGUAGUUUUGACAGUUUUGUUUACUUUAAGAAAAACAGUGAUGGUUCUUUUGUGUAUCUACUUCUUUAUGUUGAUGACAUGUUGAUAGCAGUAAAAGAUAAAGGAGAGAUAAGAAAUGUCAAAACACAACUAAGUAAAGAAUUUGAGAUGAAAGCUUUAGGACCAGCAAAGAAUAUACUUGGAAAGGAGAUUCUCAGAGAUAGAAAAACAAGUAAAUUGUACCUAAGUCAGAAGAGGUACAUUGAGAAAGUUCUUUGCAGGUUCAAUAUGCAGAGUGCUAAGCCUGUUAGUAAUCCUUUAGCAGCCCAUUUCAGACUUUCAUCAGUUUUGUCUCCACAAUCAGAUGAUGAGAUUGAGUACAUGUCACAUGUUCCAUACUCUAGUGCAGUGGGAUCUCUCAUGUAUGCUAUGGUUUGUUCACGUCCAGAUUUAUCAUAUGCAGUCAGUGCAGUUAGCAGAUACAUGGUGAAUCCUAGUAAAGAACAUUAGAAAGCAGUUUAGUGGAUUCUAAGAUACUUACGAUGUACUACUGAUGUUUGCUUACAGUUUGGAAGAACUAAAGAUGGAGUCAUAGGGUAUGUUGAUGCUGAUUUUGCUGGAGACCUUGAUAAAAGAAGAUCUCUCAUAGGUUAUGUCUUUACAAUCGGAGGUUGUGCAAUCAGUUGGAAAGCUACUUUGUAGUCUACAGUCGCUUUGUCUACCACUGAAGCUGAGUACAUGGAGAUUACUGAGGCUUGUAAAGAAGCUAUUUGGUUGAAGGGACUCUUUAGUGAACUCAAUGAAGACCUUCAAAUCAGCACAAUAUUUUGUGACAGUCAGAGUGCCAUCUUUCUUACAAAAGAUCAAAUGUUUCAUGAGAGAACAAAACACAUUGAUGUUCGGUAUCAUUUUGUUCGUGAUAUUAUUGCUCGUGGUGAUAUUGUUGUGAGCAAAAUUAGUACUCAUGAAAAUCCUGCAGAUAUGAUGACUAAGUCACUUCCUAUAACCAAGUUUAAGCAUUGCUUAGACUUGAUUGGUGUUCAUUGUUGAAGUUAAACCCUUAAGGGGUUUUAUGGAAGAGGUGGAGAACUUGUUUAUUGAAAGUUCGCAAUGAAGAACUUGUUCAUUGAGAAUUUGUGUCAAGGUGGAGAUUGUUAGAAUUAAGUGACCUAAAUUCUUAUUUAAAUAAAAUACGAUGGAAAAUAAAAUGAAAGUAAAAUCCAUAUAGAACUAGACUUCUUUUAUUUUAUUUUAGAAUAAGGUUUUUAAACCUUAUUAAACUUCAUCUAUUUUAUAUUGAUUAGGAUAAGGUGUUUCAAUCCUACUAGAAUAUGGCUUUACAAGCCUAUAACUAGACAUAGUCUAUUCCUCUUGUAUUGAUUCAAUUUUUCGACAUAGUGAAUUUUCUUCUCCUCUGCCCGUGGUUUUUUCCCGAAAGAGUUUCCACGUAAAAUUUGUGUGUUCUUUAUUUUUAUUUUAUUUUAUUUUAUUUUUUUCUCAAAACUCAAUAGAUAGAAGAGUAGAGUAAAUCAAAUAUUGAUUAUGGGUGAUUAGCUCGCUUUAGUAAUCCUCAUCAGCUAUCACUUCGGGUUCCUCGUCAAUCAACUAGUCGCUACCCUAGCAGGAUCUUCUGGUCUUCCACUAACAUAACAAGUCAGCAAGAACUACUUAUCUUUUGACCUCACAGUUUAGGUUGGUUUAGGGUAAAGGUGUUCAUGAAUGGAAAGUACCAAUUUGGAUUAAUUCCCACCUUGAUGACUUUUCGGGGUUGCCAAGCCUAGGGUUUGUUUUAUGUUCUUCCUUUUCCAAAUAGUUAAUCCGUUGAGUAACCCUACAAAAUAGUUAAUAGAUCAUACAUCCACUCGCUAAUCCCCCAUAAAGGGAUUAGUUCCUCAUGGCUUUCAUAGACAAUAUGAAAUCAAUAUAAAGAGAAAACAUACUAAUUAAAACGAUAAGAUAAAGUAAAUGAAAGAGUCUGAUUGUAUUGAUGUCAAUUGUGAAUCCCCAAUGUUUGAAUGCUUCAACAAUUUAGAUCUCUUGAAAUCAACAAAAACAACCGAAAAAAAUCUAAAACCUAAAAACGAAAAAAAUUUACACUGAAUUUUACAAAGAGAAUUUAGGCCAAAGGAUUGAUGUCCAUAACAAGUGACAAAUGAGUCUAUUUAUAGCCUUCAGGUGGCUAUCAUCCUUAACCCUGGGUUAGCUGAUGUUCCCGAGCUUGAAUGUUUAAUUGUAUAGACCAAAAUACCCUUACUUCGUGUUUUGAUUUCAUCACAGAGUCGAUGUCGUGACAUACUAGGAACUGUAUCGCGACCUAGCAACCAAUAUACUCCUCUGUAGCUAUCUUCAGUCUGUGCCUCGACACCUUUAGUCUGUGUCGUAUUGAUGGUAGUCUUGAAAUUUCUUCAUUUUGCUUAUUAUGUUGCAACAUCAAGCAUCGCAUGUUGUAACAUAGCGGCCAAUAUUAGUUUAGUACACCUUCUAAAGGUCUUCUGCACACUCACCAAGUGCGUUAGCUAUCCCUUAGGCCUUAUUCUACCCAUAAGGUUAAUAAAAGACUCAAUUUGCACAUUUUAUUAAAAGUAAAUAAAACUUAACUAAAACGUAACGAAAAUGCUUGUAUUCAAACUCUUCAAAUACGAAAACUAGUUUGAUCUGCUACACCGAAUUAUGAUAGAUCAGUUAUGCAUGCAAAAUAUAAAAGACAUAAAAUGAAAUUAACUUCAUUUAUUUAUUCAUCAUUCAAUCAAUAGAAAACAAUUAUAUGUUCACCACAAUGUGGGCGCAUUUCCCAGCACUCUACUAGUAAGGACGUCAAGACAUUCACGUCGUCGAGAAGAGCUUUCGUUUCUCAUCGGGACAAGACUAACUGUUUGGGCCUAAUAGAAGCAUUCUCCACAUAUUUGAUGAAACAAUUUAAAUUUAAAUUUAUUUUAUUGUGGUUUUUGGGACUAUAAUUUUUUAAUUUUGGGUUAUGGCAUGGGUUCUUUUUAAGUUCGGAUUUUUGCAUGCAUUCAAUUUCAUUAAACUGAACAAGCCAAAUUAAUCUUCUUAUAGAAUAUGGUUUAAAGUAAUAACUGAUGGUUUCACUUUUUUCGCUGCAAAACAAGAGUUUUGAAAGUAAAAUGACAAAACAAAAAUCAAC
rnacentral:lncRNA from 1 species